rnacentral:lncRNA from 1 species
AAACCUAAGAAAAAUCAAGAGUCGAAAUAAUUUCAAUAUCUAUUCCAGAUAAAUAGACCAUUUUUUAAGGUAAUUUUUGCACUUAAUUAAAAAGGAAAUUUUAACGAAAAGCCUGCGGUACUAUUCACUUUAACGAAAAACCAUAUUUUUACACUAAAAAGUCAAACCUAGUACUAUUCACUUUACCCUUUAUUUUGUCCUUAUCGUUAAAACUCAAAGUUUUCAAGCUCUUUUUAUUAGUUUUUCUUAAAAAAAAAGACAUAACAUGUUCACAUGGGUUUGAACAAGUCUAAGCAACACUCAGUUGCAAGUCCUCUAUUCCAGAAUUUUUUGAAGUAUUCAGCAUAUGUGAAGUUCCUAAACAUGGCUGGAUAGUCAUGGUUGAUGAGCUCCUUGGCAGGCCCAAUCAUUGCAUCUAGUGCUGGACAUUAGAAAGUUGGGAUCGAUAUCCUCCCCAAAUUACAAUUUACCACAGCUCUAUGCAGCACACUCUUGUACCCAAGGUCUUAAAUGCCGAUAAUAUCGACGAUAUUUCGCCGAUAUUAUCGGUUUUUUACGGUAACGAUAUUUUAAUAGGCAUCUAACGGGUUUUCGUCAAAAUAUCGCGAUAUUAUCGAUAAUAUCGCGAUAUUUUUGAAACUAUUGCGAUAUUUUCGAACUGUGCUAAUCGGAGAAGAACCGGAGAAGAAUGCCGGAGCUUCUACAGCUCUGGCCGACUGUAAAAGAGCACCCUAGACUCCGAUCUAGGUAUCAAAAUGAAAUAGAAGACGAGAUGAAUGUUUUUAUAAAGUUCGUUUGCUGUGAAACGGUCGGAGGUGUUUGGAAAGUUCGUCGACACCCACGGCCUCGCCGGAGAUGGGUGUGCCUAUUCCCGAGCUGAUUUCAUCCCAAAAACCUUGCAAAAACACGAUUUUGAACUUAAAUUUCACAUAUAAGCUUCAAUCUAGAACAGAAAGAGUCAAACCCGAAGCUUACCUAACCGGAGAAAUUCAAGAACCUCGCCGGAGUUCCUGCGUUCGCCGAGUUACAGAGACGAGAAGGAGAGGGAGAAAGACGAGGUUGCUGAUGAUGAUGGGUGUCUUCCUGAAGCAGGUGCGAUGGUGUGCCUGUGUGUAUGUGAGUCUCGGACCCUCGGUGCAGAAAGAAAGAAGAGAGACGGCGCCGACGAGGGAGGAGCAGAAGGCGAUGUGGGAGAAGGAUCGAGAGACCUUGGGUCUAUGUGCAUGUGUGUGGGAGAUCUGUGUGUGUGUGUGGGAGAAUGGAGAAGGGGGAGAAGGGAGAUCAGAGAAGAAGAGAGAAUAACCGAGAGAGAGACUGUGUUCGUGUGUUGUGUUGUGUUGUGUGCAUGUGUAGUGGCGUGUCGGUGUGUGUGUGUGUCGGUGUGUGUGUGUGGUUGGGUCAUCUGACUCACUCACCUGACAACUUUUACAAUCACAGACCAUGGACAAAAAUAAUAAUGCUUUCAUAAUGAAACCGUGUGCCACUGUGAGUCUGUGAUAUUCUUUCACAUUCAAAACCAUGUGCCACUGUGAGUCUGUGAUAUUCUUUCACAUUCUCAGAGGUGGAGUAUCAGAGCAUUUUCGUUUCUUCUUCUUCCCUUACCCCUUUCAAAGCCAUUCUAGAUUCAUUCCAGAGCUUGAACACAAAGGUUCCAUAUUUAAAGUAAGUUUACAAACUUAUAUUUAUAUUAUUGUAAUUUAUACAACAACAAAAAAAUUUGUGUGGACUCGUAUGUUAAUUUUUUUAAGUAAUUAAUACUUGCAUGUUAAUUUUUGUAAGUAAUUAAGUAAUGUUAACAAUUACAUGUUAAUUUUUUUAAGUAAUUAAGUAAUGUUGUAUAAUUAUUCCCUAGGAUAAUUUUAAUAUGUUUAAUGUUAUUUAUUAUUUUAUUAAUAUUAGGUUUGAUUAUCAAAUUGGAUUAUUAUUCAUUAAUAUUAGGUUUUUUUUUAUUAUCAAAUUGGAUUAUUAUUCAUUAAAUUGGAUUAUUAUCAAAUUGGAUUAUUCAUUAAAUUGGAUUAUUAUCAAAUUGGAUUAUUCAUUAAAUUGGAUUAUUAUCAAAUUGGAUUAUUAUUCAUCACUAUGUUUUAUAUUAGGAUUAUUUUUUUUAUCAAAUUGGAUUAUUAUUCAUUAAUAUUAGGUUUUAUUAUUCCAUAUUAUUUUUAUAAUUACUUAAAUUUUUACAAUCAUUUUCUUUACUUCGUAUUUAAUUCUUCUGUAUAAUAACUUUAUUAUUUAGGUUCUCUUAUAUAACCGUCAUCACUACUAUAUUUUUUGGCCAAAAAAUAAUUGUCUAAUUUUCAUGAAAAAUAAAUAUAGAUACGUUUAAGAUGUCCAGUGGAGUUACUAAACGUGAUCCAGCUUGGGAAUAUGGAGACCCAAUAGAUGGAAACAAACAUGGCACAAUUUGCAAAUAUUGUGGUCGGGUAAUGAAGAGUGGCGGAGUGACACGACUUAAGUACCAUCUUAGUGGAUUAGAUCCAGCAAAAAAUGUCCAACAAUGCGAUAAUGUCCCCCCAUAAGUGAAGGCAUUCAUCAGCACAUGAUUAAAAAAUAAAAAACAGCAGAAGGAAAAGAUAACACAUGGAAUGGAAAAUAUUCGAGCUGGACUACGAGGGGAAGUCUAUGGCCAAACGGUUGACAGUGAUGAUGAUGACGAUGAGGACGAAUGUGAUGAUGACAUGGGACUUGAAGAACGACGCAGUUUGAAAUAAGCAUUACGUGCCUCCAAACAGUCAGCAUGGGAAAAAGAACACCUUCAUAAAAUUCCUAAUAGAGCACAAGGUUCCAGGACAAGUGGUGGUGCACAAAUGAGAUGGGGAGGCAGUCUUAGAGAAUCACAACCAACACCACCAAUAGCCCCAAGUUUAUAUAAGUCAUCCAAAGCACGUCAAAAGAGUAUUUGGAGUUAUUUCACUGGAGGUAAUGUGAAGGAGGGAAUGGGGCGUCUAAUUAGCAAGUUCUUUAUCUAUGAAAAUGUCCCUACUGAGAAAGCAUCAUCACAUCAUUUCAAAAAUAUAGUAGUGGGAUGUCAACAUGCCGGUGUUAGAGUACAACCUCCCACUCCCUAUGAGAUAAGAAACAAAUAUUUGGAUAUGGAGUAUAAAGACAUUGGCAAGUAUGUUAACAAGUUGAGGUCAAAGUGGGAAACUAAUGGUUGCACAAUCAUGUGUGACGGAUGGACUGGCCCGACCAGAUUGUCCAUCAUAAACUUCAUGGUAUACUCCAAGGGAAAGACAAUUUUUUUUAAGUCUGUUGAUGCUUCAGACCAUAUAAAGAACUACAAGUAUAUUUACAAAUUAUUGAGGGAUGUAAUCAUGGAGGUGGAAGAGCAUAAUGUUGUCCAAGUCGUGACCAACAACGGUUCUGCAUUUGUCAAAGUUGGAAAAAAGUUAAUGAAGCAUCAUAAUGUGUUUUAGACAUCAUGUGCAGCUUAUUGUAUUGAUCUCAUGUUUGAGGCAAUGGGGAAGAUAGAGAAUGUUGCUACUGUGGUAAAAAGAGCUAAAACGAUCACAAAUUAUAUUUACAAUCACGGUUGGUUGUUGGCAAAGAUGCGUGAAUUUUGCAAAUGAAACAUUAUUCGUCCAGCUACCACUCGAUUCGCCACCAACUAUAUUGCAUUAGACAGCCUACUUAAGAAGAAAUCAGGGUUGAAGCAACUAUUCACUAGUGACGAUUGGGCCAACCACAAUUUGAGCCGCUCAUAUGCAGGUCGUAUGGUGGAAAGUAUAGUGCUUGAUCAUGCUUUUUGGACACAAUCAGAACAUGUAUGCCAAGUGUUUGAACCUCUUUACAAAGUUUUACGGAUUGUUGACACAGAAGUGUAUCCUACUAUGAGGGCAAUAUAUGAGUUGAUGCGUGUAGUGAAGGAUGAAUUGGAAAGCAAACAUGGUGCAAGGUGGGUCAUAAAGAUAAUUGAAGACCGAUGGUAUAAAACAUUAUACCACGAUUUGCAUGCAACAUGUAUAAAUUAUGUCAUAAUUUGCAAUUCAUUUCUUUAGUUGCAUAAGUAUUAUUUCACUUAUUAGAGUAUGUAUUUCUUUGAACAGCAUAUUAUUUGAAUCCUCGAUACCAAUACAGACCCGGUGUUGGAGAUGAUGGUACCCUUAUACGUGCUGUACAUAAUGUAUACUUUAAAUUAGACCCUGCAUCACCAGCAGUUGGCCAAUUUGGAAAUGAGGUACACAAUUACUUAAAUUAUAAUAAUUACUUUGUUGGAUUAAACUAACACGAUUUAUUGAAUUCAGCUAACAUGGUUUAAAGAUGCAAGAAGAACUUUUGGAGAACCAACAUCAGUUGCUGCUCGAACAAAAAUGUCUCCUAGUGAGUGUAAACAUAUUUCACGAUAAGUUUAUAAUAGAAUUUGUUGGAGUUAUUAGGCUUAUCAACAUUGUUUUUCAUUGUAGCUGAAUGGUGGAUCAUGUAUGGGACCGAUGCACCAACUGUGAGAAAGUUAGCAAUCAAAGUAUUAUCACAAACAACUUUCUCAUCUGCUUGUGAAAGAAAUUGGAGCACAUUUGCAUUCAUACACACAAUCAAAGAAAUAGGUUGGCUCAUAGUCGGUUGGAAAAAUUAGUUUAUUGCUACUACAACAUGAAGCUUCAAAUUCGAGAUAAGGAAGCAGAAAUAGAUCAUGUCGACCGUGGUGACCCACUAGAUGUGUUUGAUAUUGUUGCUAAAGAUGAUGAUACAGAGGGUAACCAACUUUAUCAAUGGCUUAGACCUCUUCAUUUAGAUGAUGAUGAAGGCAACCCAGCUCUUAGAGUUGCUGAAGAAGCACGUAAUGAAGGGAUAAAUGUAGAAAGAGUAUUAGCGGAGGAGGUGGGAUUUAGCAACGUUGACUCUUUGGAAAAAUUUUUGCGCCCAAGACCAAGAAACACUGGAAUUCCACCUUCUUCCAAUCCUACACAACCACAACAUCGUGCUGAUACUAAUGACAGCUCUAGUACAAGAUCAGGAGGAGACUCACCUACCACCGGAGGUGGGAAUGAUGAAGGAUAUAGUGGAGCUGGAGGUAGUGGUGGUGGAUAUGGAAACUAUGUUGGACCACCUCCCGGAUUUAUGAGCCCCUUCAUUGGUGAGGCAAACUUCAUGCAUGCAACACAGGAUGAGGACCAUGGCAGUAGGCGGGCAGGACCAGGAAUUGGUGCCAUAGGGAAGGACUAUACUCGUAGAGAAAGAGGCAAGGGGAUUUUGUCAAGUCAAGAAGAUGACUCGUUAUCUAUAACUUCGGACUCUGUUGGAGUGGGAAGUAGUAACUAUGGUUAUACUCAUAACCAAUCAUUUCCCUACCCUUCAUAUCCCAUUCCUGUUGGGAUGGAAUCGAGCGAUUCAUGGAAACAAUCCGAGACUCAAUCUUCAAAUGAUUUUGCUUAUGGACAAGGUCAACCAAUCUCGGAUCCAUAUGGGUGGCAUGUUAACAAUUACAUGCAAAACUAUUUUGGGGAUUUAUCAUUUGAUAACUACUCUUCACAAUACACUCACUCUACACAUAGAGAUGAUGAAGAUAGUGAAACAUUUGAACCUCAUAGGAACUCUAUGUGGUACUAAGUCACUCAUGUAUCUUACCGUGCAAUGUAUAAAGUGUAAAAUAUUGUACUAAUUCAUUAUAUAUAAAUGAUUAUGGUGUGUUUAAACUUCUUUCAUUAAUUACUACAUAUUUUCUACACUCACAAUGUUUGCCAACUCGCUAUAUAAUCAACUUGAUAAUGUUAAAUCCAUCAUGCAAUGCAUUUCCUUCCAAUUUUUUAUGAUAAACUAAUAGAUAAUUGACUAAAUAAACAUCCUGCAAAGUUUCAAUAAAAAUUUCCAAGUUUUUCUUACAAUUUCCGUGGUUUCCAUAUUAUUUUUAUCGAUAUCGAUAUUAUCCCGAUAUUUCCAUUGAUAUUUCCGUAUUUUCGGACUACCGAUAUUUCCAAUAUCAUCGAUAUUUAAUACCUUGCUUGUACCUACUGUUGCUAAUUACCUAAUACCAAAUAAAAUGGUAAAAAAAAGUAAAAUUCUAUUGAUGCAUAAAAUCAAUGAAGACUUUGGUACAACAAAAAAUAUUAAGUUUGUGACCUUCGCUAGAUUGCUCUGGUCACUAGUGUGGAUAAGUAUGUAAAUGGAUAGAGACAGUGAAGCAAACAAAAGAUGAACGUGGUUCACCCAGAUUGGCUACGUUCACAGAGUAGAGGAGUUCUCAUUAAUUGUAAAGGGUUUACACAAGUACAUAGGUUCAAGCUCUUCUUUUGUGAGUACUAGUGAAUGAUUUAGUACAAAUGACAUUAGGAAAUAUUAUGGGAGAAUGAUCUCCUUUUAUAAAAGAGAGUUUCUAGCUUUGUUCUGACAUUGACACGUGUCGUGUUGUGAUUGGCUUCUGAUGUUGACACGUGUCGCGUUAUGAUUGGCUUCUGAUGUCGACACGUGUCGUGUUGUGAUUGGCCUCCUGGUUGGAGGGAAACUCUUCUGGGUCCUUGACGGUAUAAUGUUGACCGGUGCUAGGUAGUUUCGGGAUUGGUCAAGUAUGGUACAAACAGUGCUUCCCUAAGUUCCCGAGUAAGGGAAGCUCCUCAGUUAGGGACUUGCAAGAUCCAAGCCGCUGAGUAAUCACGAAACUUCUAAGUACCAAAGAGUGGUAUCGUCUUCACUUACCUUAUCUGUCUCAUAGGUAGAUGUGGCAUCUUCUUUGGAAGUACUCUUCCUCUAUCCAAGGGUGGUAUCUUUAACCGGUGGAGAUGCACAAGGUAAUGUAUCAAUUUCACUUCAAGGUUACUUGUAGUUUCAGGCUUGGUCAAGCGCGAUACAAACCAUGUAGUAGGAGUCCCCCAAGUCGCCGAGCUAGAAGAUCUGCCGAAAGAGGUGACAUACAAGGUAAGCAAUCAGAGCUCCAAGCAAUCAGUCACAGAUCAGAAGUUUGAUUUCGAGUUCCGGCUGAUUAUUCUCAUUCUCCCUAUCUUGCAGGCAGCAUGAAGGAUAAAGAGAAGAAAAAGGAGAAGAGAUGAUAUAAGAUAUUUUUGCUUAUGAAGAAGUAACUUUCCAUAGACUUAUUAUUGAACUGGGCUGAAGGGUUUUCUAGUUUCCUCUAGAGUAUAAGGCUGACUCAAGAAUUUGAGGGUUAAAACAAGUCCAUUAAAUCAAGAGUUCGUUCGACCUUGAUGAUAUGAGAUACUUUUGCUGUUGACAAAGUAGUGGAUAUGGUAUGGCAAGGCUUUGCUCUUUGGCGACGUUGCUAGCGAAAGGUUGUUGAAGUUUCUUGAGCUCUUCGGAUAGGGCAGCGUUGCCGAGCUUGGAUUUGACUUAGACUCAUCCGUCUGGAUUAUGUGGUUCUACAGGAGGGCGUCAUGCUAUAAUGAUCUGUUCUAGCUCAUCGUUGAACCUUCUGCUUCAAUCUUUUGCAUCGCAGAAGUGGUGCGCAACCUUUGCAUUUGAAUGGUCAUUCAGAGCACUACUUCUCAGCGACUCAUCCAUCCUUGGCAGCUUUAGUGUAAAGAGACAAUAUCGUAUCAACUGUUCUGAAGUAUUUACCGAAAGGAUUCGUGACCUUGACAACAGUUGAGGAUGAGUACUCGAGAGCAAUGCUAAGUGAGCAACCAGGCAAAGGUUCCGGGCAAUCAGUUCCAGAUUGAAGUUUGAUUUCAGGUUUCGAAUGAUUGUUUUCUUUUCCUUGUUAUGCAGGUAAGAGCAAGGGCAAAGGAAAAGACAGGAAAAAAACAUGAUAUGGGAUACUCCUACUUUUAAUCCUGAUGAUAUGAGGUACUCUUGCUUUGGUUGCAGAUGUAUUAUCGGGGGAAACGAAGUUGAGUAUUUCGAAAGGCUUCGUUGGGAGUGCCCUCUCAGAUAUGAGAAAUGGUUGAGCAUUUUUUAAGAUCUGCCUGUCCGUGGAGGGUGGAGGUAGACAUAUAUAGGAGUUUCCUCAACAUGUAGUAAUGUUAUUCCUUUACUUUUAUUGGUUAUAACAAUGUAGUGGGAGCUGCAAGCUUCACGUGGUUUAACUUUGUCAGAGCAUUUUGAAAAAGUGGUCUGUGGUAUCUGGAAAGCUGAUGUUGCAUGUGAAGAUUGCAGACAAAUUUUAUCUAAGGAAAUCUGGCUCUCGAAGUUAUGAGAGUGGUGCCUCUUCGGUUUUUGAACAAGCAAUCCUAUUAGGGAUCUGGCUCUCGAGAUUCGGAGAGCAAUACCUCUUCGAUUUUUGAACAAGCAAUCCUAUUGGGGAUCUGGCUUUUGAGAUUUAGAGAGCGGCGCCUCUUCGAUUUUUGAGAAAGUGAUCAUGGUAAGAGUCUGGCUCUUGAGAUUCGGAUAGCGGUGUCUCUUUAAUUUUGAGAAAGUAAUCUUAGUGGGAGUCUGUCUCUCGAGAUUCGGGGAGCGGUGCCUCUUCGAUUUUUGAGAAAGUAAUCAGGUUAGGAGUGUUUUCUCGAUGUGAGUAAAGGUUGGACAUUUUUACCAGUCUGAUUUACCACGGAGCACGGAGGUUGACACACAUAGGGACUUUCCAAUUAUCAAGUAAUGGUUCUGUUCCUUUACCCUUGUGGGUAAUGGUAGAGUAGCUGGACCUUCAAAUUUUAUGUGUCUAAACUUUGUCCGAGAUCUUUGGCAAAGUUAUCUAUGGUACCCGAUGAGCUGAUGUUGCGUGUGAAGAUUGUCGACAUAUUUUACUCAAGAAAAUCCGUUUCUCAAAAUCCGGAGAGUGGUGCCUCUUCGAUUUUUGAACCAACAGCCCUGUUGCCCUUUCUUUUAUAAGGGCACCAAUUGUGUGCAAGAAGUACAUUCAAAGAGGUAUUGCUUGUAGGAAUUUUCCCCUUAUUUUCGUACUUCAGAGAUUUAUUGGACCUUAUUUCUCCUUCAUCAUUUCUGACAAUGUCUGGCCCAUUCGACUAUCGUUUUAACUUGAACUUUGGUGAAGAGGCAGCCAUGCCUCCUUAAGACAACAUAUGGCGCCCAUCCUUUUUAUCGCCUAUUAGUUUUCUUACCGUUGGAGACUCUGUGAUGAAGAAUGAUAUGACCGCUGCGGUGGUGGCCAGGAACCUUCUCACUUCUAAAGACAACAGACUACUUUCUAAACGGUCUGAUGAGUUGGCUGUUAAGGAUUCUCUAGCUCUUAGUGUUCAGUGUGCAGGUUCUGUGUCUAAUAUGGCCCAACGCCUAUUUGCUCGAACCUGCCAAGUUGAAUCAUUGGCGGCUGAAGUGAUAAGUCUCAAACAGGAGAUUAGAGGGCUUAAGCAUGAGAAUAAAUAGUUGCACAUGCUUCACAUGACUAUGUUACAAACAUGAAGAGGAAGCUUGACUAGAUGCAGGAAUCUGAUGAUCAGAUUUUACUUGAUCAUCAGAGGUUUGUGGGUUUGUUCCAAAGGCAUUUAUUGUCUUCGUCUUCUGGGGCUGUAUCGCGUAAUGAAGCUCCAAAUGAUCAACCUCUGAUACCUCCUCCUUCUGGGGUUCUGUCCAGCAUUAAGGCUCCGAAUGAUCACCCUCCGGUGCCUUCUCUUUCUGGGGCUCUGCCGACUACUAAGACUUUUCAUGAGCAACCUUUGUGAAGGCUCCAUCUUGUUUGUUUAUUUUGACUCAUGUAUAUGUACAUAUUUUUAACUUAUCGAAGAUAUCAAUAAAUAAGCUUUGCUUCAUUUCAACGUAUUGUGUUAAAUACACCAAAGCCUUCUUCACUAAGUUCUUUGAAUUUUUUCUUUUGUUGAAGCUUGUAUGUUGAAGCUUUGUGAGUGAAGCAUGUAUGUUGAGGUAGUGCUCCCUUAAUUUCCCGAGUGAGGAAAACUUCUCGAUUGGAGACUUGAAAAAUCCAAGUUACUGAAUAGUCGUGAGUCUUCCGAGUAUCAAGGUGCAGUAGCAUAUUGUAGGAGUCCUCGAAGUCUCCGGUCGAGGGAGUUGACGAAGGUGGUAUUUCCUUUCUAAGUGGUAGCCCAAAACUCAUCCUUCAUAUAUAUUUGUUAUGAAAGUUGUUAGGCCCAAAGAAGAUAAGGCAUAGGCAAUUUUUUUUUCGAUUUUUUUUUUAAUUUUCGAAUUUUCGAAUUUUUGAAUUUCCGAAAAAAAAAAAAAAAUAUAUAUAUAUAUAUAUAUAUAUUUAAGCUUUGUAGGUGAAGCUUUGGUGUUGAAGCUUUGUAUGUGAAGCUUUGAGCUUAAAGCUUUGUUGGGUGCCAUGAAUUGAUUUUGCUUCACACUAUCUUGAUCAAGAGAGUGUGAAGCUUUUGUAGGUGAAGCUUUUGUGUUGAAGCUUUGUAGGUGAAGCUUUUGGAGGUGAAGCUUUUGUGGGUGAAGCUUUUGUGGAUGAAGCUUUUGUGGAUGAAGCUUUUGUAGGUGAAGCUUGGAGUUGAAACUUUGUAGGUGAAGCUUUGGAAAUGAAGCUUUUGUAGGUGAAGCUUUGGAGUUGAAGCUUUUGUUGGAUACCAUGAAUUGAUUUUGCUUCACACUAUCUUGAUUAAGAUAGUGUGAAGCUUAUAAGAAUUUAUAGUUGCCCUCCAUUUGUUAAAGCUUUUGCUUUUGUGGUGAAGCUUUGUAGGUGAAGCUUUGUUGGGUACCAUGAAUUGAUUUUGCUUCACACUAUUUUGAUCAAGAUAGUGUGAAGCUUUUGAGAAUUUGUAGUUGUCCUCCAUUGAUGAAGCUUUGUUGAAUUUCCCAAUUUCUGUUUUUGUUUUCUUUUUUUGGAAACUUUGAAAUUUGUUGAAUUUUCCAAUUUCCCUCUUUUUUUUUUUUUUGGGAAACUAGAAAUUUGGAAAUGUGGGAGAGACAACAUAUACAAAUUUUGCUUCCACACUGCUGAGUAAGAGAUUGUGAUGCAAGCCACAUCUUGUGGUAGUCGAAGGUUUGGAUGAACCAAUAAAUUGAAUUUGCUUCGAAUAGUCUUGAUCAAGAGUGUGGGAAGCUUUCUAUGAGUUGUAGUUGCCCUUCAUUGAUGAAGCUUUUGUUGACACCAAAAAUUGGUUUUGCUUCACACUGUUUUGAUCAAGAGUGUGUGAAGCUUUUGAGAAUUGUGGUUAAACUCCUUUGAUGAAACUCUUGUUGGCACCAUAAAUUGGUUUUGCUUCACACUGUCUUGAUCAAGAAUGUAUGAAGCUUUUGAGAAUUGUGGUUGCCCUACAUUGAUGAAGCUCAUGUUGGCACCAUAAAUUGGUUUUCCUUCACACUGUCUUGAUCAAGAGUGUGUGAAGCUUUUGAGAAUUGUGGUUGCCCUCCAUUGAUGAAGCUUGUUGGCACAAUAAAUUGGUUUUGCUUUACACUAUCUUGAUCAAGAGUGUGUGAAGCUUUUGACGAGUUGUAGUGUUUGCAUUGUUACAGAGGAGAAAUGUCUGAAGCAGAUGCAAGACGGCUGAAUAGCUUGAUUUUUGUAUGCCAUGCACUGAAGUUGUUGUUGGCUUGCAAUAAGACUUUGUUGGUGACUAAAACUCUUGUUGGGCAUAAGUGCUCCCCUCGUUGAGUUGUCAAGCUUGAGGGUUUUUGAUUAUUUGUGAAUGCUAAGAGUUCAUAUAUACAAAUUGUACCACUCGUCUUAUGGUAGGUGGAAUGAAUUGUGAGUUUUCAUCACUUGAUUGGUGGUACAAAGGUGAGUUCCUUCAUUAUCUUUCAUCACAUUUCAUCACCUGGUUGGUGGCACGAAGAUGAGUUCCUUCUUCACCUGGUUGGUGGCAUGAAUGGCAAGUUGCCAAAUGAUAUUAGAGUACGGGUUGUACAUUUCAUCACCUGGUUGAUGCCAUGAGUGGCAAGUUGCCACAUGAUAUUAGAGUACGGGUUGUACAUUUCAUCACCUGGUUGGUGGCAUGAAAGAGAGUAUGGGUUGUACAUUUCAUCACCUGGUUGGUGAGAAUAAGGGCAAGGUGUCGAGGCAUAUUGUAACAAGUGUCGAAUGACACAAAGUAUGUUGAACCAUUUCGAAGCAUGGUUGGCUGAUGUAUGAAUGUGUUGGAAUGUAUGAUUGAACAAAUAUACUGUGAAGCUGUUCGUUUAUUUGUAUAGUCUUAUUGACAUAUACUUAGACUUUGUUUCAUGUUGAAAACAUUCAUGUUGAAACUUUGAACCCGAGUGUUUCAUUGCUAGGAAUGUAAAAGGAUUAUGACCGAGUUGUCUAAAUCACCUCUUUAUUGAAUUCAUGCCAUGUAUGGGUAUCAGGUGUGCUAUGCUGGGGUAAAUAGUCACGCAUGUGUAAUCCGGGUGCCUCGACUUUGGCUUCGGUACCAGGUGUGCUAUGCUGGUGUAAAUGGCCACACAUGUGGCAUUCAAAGGUGUGUAUGCCUCAUACUUCGGGGUAGGGUCUGUCCUGACACGUGCUUGACCCACUGUGUUGACUGCCUGAGGUCGGGGAUUAUGAUGGCGAUACCCUUGGUUAUCGCGGUAGUGGUCCUUAGUCCUUUUACUAAAAUGAGACUGCUGAGGAUGGAAAUCUUUCCUUUUGCCCUGAGAUUGAUAUGUAUGUUGACUUGGCAAAGUAUUAAGUAAGGCAAGGGGAUGCACCGCUGCCGUUUGGAAGGUUGAGGUCUUCUCAUUUAGGUGGGUCUGGCUUACACUCCCCACUUGCUGAUAGGGGAUGGUUGUUGGGGGUUUUUCUAGGUAUGUCCUUGCCUCGGCGGAGGCAUGGUUAUAAGCCUGCGCCAUCACCUUAGAGUAAGUCUUCUAAGUGUUGGCAUUGAUCAUGUACUUAAAGAAACAGUUACGUAGGCCUGCCGUGAAGGCUUUAAGGGUAGUCUUGUCGUCUGCCUCGGCACAACGGGAAUACUCAUGGUUGAAGCGGCCAGCAUACAUACGUAAUGACUAGUCUAGCUUCUGGCGAAUAGUGUACAAGUCAUCUGCAGUGUAAGCGAUCAGUCUGGAAAAUGUCUUGAAAAACAAACAGUUUCCUUAAUUUCUCAAAUGAGUCUACUGUCUCAGGUGGAAGACGACAAUAUCAGUUUAAAGCUCCGCCAGAGAGGGUGGAGGGGAAGAGGAGACUUUUAUCUUCGUUGGUGUGCAUCCGGUAUGCCAUGGUGGACUCAAAGAGGUUAAGGUGUUCAAUUAGGUCGUCAUUUCCAAUAUAGAGUUGCAAGUUAAGCUUCUGCUUUGUCUUUGCUUGAAGGGGGUGUCGAUGAUCCUCAUUAUAAGAGGGCCAGGCUUAGGUUGGUUCCAAUCAGGUAUCUCAGCUUGUCGUUCAGCCUUUAACUUGUUUACUUCCUUAAGAAGUUGUAUGACAAGAGGGUCCUAAGUGGAGUCAUGUACUACUGGAGCUUUCUUUCGUAAAUCUCUAUCUCCUCUUGGAAGUAGGAAGGUCUGAUCAAGAGCAUGUGAUUUUUCCCUGGACUCGCCGUGCUGACUUCCAAGGUAUGCCUGUCGGAACAUCUCUGAGUCCCCUAUACCUUCAUGUUUCUCUAGGACUUGUUGCCCUUCCCCAAAUUGGUAACCAGCCUAGGACAUGGAAGGGGACCAAGUCUUUCAGAGACCAUUGGGUCAUUGAUCUUCGAGCUUACAUGGAUGGGAUUGUCUCGACGUUACUUUAGGAAGUCUAACAGUCGUAAAAGACGGCUUUUGAUCUUUCCACUUCUUCUGUAAGAAGGUGUCUUCCUCCACUCCUCUUGCUUCGGGUCGAAGCAGUUGGGUUGAGAAAAGUCUCAUGUUGGUUGCCAUUUCGAUGAGUAGCUCGCUCCUCAACAGGAAUACCCAUGUCGAGGGCAAAUGACCCUCCGUGUUGGGGGCACCCAGUUGAUGGUUGACUUCCAUAGAGGUGAGGAGCUCAUGUGUUUAGUAUAUCUAGCCUCGUGGAACAUCUCAAAGACCUUUUCAUACUGCUCUUAGAAGAUCUUAUUCUUCAUCGCUAUCUUGUUGUUCUAAGCCUCCAACUCAUCGACUUUAGCCUGAAGAGCAAACUUCUUUUGUUCCUUCUUUCGUUGCUUCGCACCAGGUGCAAGAGAGAUGUCUGGUCAAAAGAGAGUGUACGAAUGGUGGAAACUAGCUUAACAAAGCUGAAGAGAGUGGGAAUAAGUGUCGUUCCCAUAGACAACACCAAAUGUCGAUGCACAAAAUCAAUGAAGACUUUGGUAGAACAGAAAGUGUUAAGUUUGUGACCUUCACUAGAUUGCUCCGGUCACUAGUGUGGAUAAGUAUGUAAAUGGGUAGAGACAGGGAAGCAAACACAAGAUGUUUGUGGUUCACCCAUAUUGGCUAUGUCCACGGAGUAGAGGAGUUCUCAUUAAUUGUGAAGGGUUUAGACAAGUACAUAGGUUCAAACUCUCAUUUUGUGAGUACUAGUGAAUGAUUUAGUACAAAUGACAUUAGGAAAUAUUGUGGGAGAAUGAUCUCCUUUUAUAGAAGAGAGUUUCUAGCUUUAUUCUGACAUUGACACGUGUUGUGUUAUAAUUGGCUUCUGAUGUUAACACGUGUCGCGGUAUGAUUGGCUUCUGAUGUCGACACAUGUCGUGCUGUGAUUGGUCUCCUGGUUGGAGGGAAACUCUUUUGGAUCUUUGACAGUAUAAUGUUGACCGGUGCUCUGUAGUUUCGGGAUUGGUCAAGUAUGGUACAAACAAAUUCAAUUAACAGUUUACACAUGUAAAUGUCACAAAAACUUGUCCCUCUACUUGGACAAGUUUCCCUUGCUAGGGAUAAAUGAGUUUAACCAUCCCAAGCGUGAUGCAACGAUCUAUUAUUUCUGUCAUCAUGUAACCAAUUAAGUGAGAACAAAGAUAAAAAAAUUUAAGAUUUCACGCUCUGUGACAGGGAUAAAUUAGCUGAUGGAAAAUAUUUUGGGAGAUUUUUUAAUAUGCUCUUAGAAAUUCUAUGCACUAGAUGAUUACAAAAUGGCACCCCUAUUUAACUAAAUAUUUAACUAAGUUAAUGAAUUCAAUUUGGAUAAUAUGCUCUUGUUAGACUAAGUAUAUCUAUCUAGAUUCUGACAAAUAUAAGUCUGAUAAGAUAACGUUAGUCAGUUUGAAUAUUUGAGUACUAACAGAAGACGAUGAAAAAGAAGCACCACCUAUUUACUUGAACAACGGGGGAUUGUUAGGCCAUUCUUGGACAAAGUCUUGAAGUGGGAAGCAAUGCAAUCUAAGGAAGUCCCUCUAGUUGGACAGUUUUUCAAUCUUGACAUUGAAACUAGUGGAGAGCCUGGUGGUCUUAGAAGGGUCAUCUAAGUACAUCUUCAACCUCUCACUUUCUGGUAAUUUGAAAAACUCUCUUGCUAUACUCAACAUGUUUUUUAUCAUUGUCUCUGGAACUCCAUGAUUUUUCACCUGGUAAUAUAAAAGUUAGUGCAUAAUUUAGUUAUUUUAUAUAAUAAGACUAAUAGUACUCAUAUACGUACUCAGGUAUAAAAUAACUAAAUUAUGCACCAACUGGGCGCCACGUCAUCACUUAUGCACCAACCUUAACUGGAAACUUAACAGUUUGACUAACGGAUGUAUGAGACUGUCCCAAAAUUUACACUUUAGGUAUGACUUUGGGAUGAAAAAAAAUUGAUGUACUAAAUGUUGAAAACCACGAAACAUGAGGGUAGUAAACAGUCUUUUGCCCAUAACUAAAUUAUGCACCAACAUUUUUAUUACCAGGUGAAAAAUCAUGGAGUUCCAGAGACAAUAAUAAAAAAAUAUGUGGAGUAUAGCAAGAGAGUUUUUCAAAUUACCACUAAGUACAUCUUCAACCUCUCACUUUCUGGUAAUUUGAAAAACUCUCUUACUAUACUCAACAUGUUUUUUUAUCAUUGUCUCUGGAACUCCAUGAUUUUUCACCUAAUAAUAAAAAGGUUGGUGCAUAAUUUAGUUAUUUUAUAUCUAAGUACGUAUAUGAGUACUAUUAGUCUUAUUAUAUAAAAUAACUAAAUUAUGCACCAACCUUUUUAUUACUAGGUGAAAAAUCAUGGAGUUCCAAAGACAAUGAUAAAAAACAUGUUGAGUAUAGCAAGAGAGUUUUUCAAAUUACCAGAAAGUGAGAGGUUGAAGAUGUACUCAGUGGUAAUUUGAAAAACUCUCUUGCUAUACUCACCAUGUUUUUUAUCAUUGUCUCUAGAACUCCAUGAUUUUUCACCUGGUAAUAAAAAUGUUGGUGCAUAAUUUAGUUAUGGGCAAAAGACUGUUUACUACCCUCAUGUUUCGUGGUUUUCAACAUUUAGUACAUCAAUUUUUUUUCAUCCCAAAGUCAUACCUAAAGUGUAAAUUUUGGGACAGUCUCAUACAUCCGUUAGUCAAACUGUUAAGUUUCCAGUUAAGUGAUGACGUGGCGCCCAUGUGGAUAAUGACUGGGCGCCACAUGUCAUCCACAUGGAAAUUAAAAAUAAAUUAUUUAUAAAAUAAAUUUAAUUAAUUUAAAUAAUUUAUAAAUAAAAAUAAAUAAAUAAAUAAAAAACCCCUUCUUCCCCAAAUCCCACCCGUGCCCACCCUCCCUUCAUCCACCCCUUCGUCUUCCCCAAAUCCCACCCUCCCAGUUCCCCUUCGUCUUCCCCACCCUCUACCCCUACCCACCAACACCCUUCAUUUCCCUGAUACCCACACAGCAGAACCCAUUUCAUCCCCCAAUUUUAUCAACACACCCACCACCCAAUUUUAUCAAGCUCCGCCAUUUCCGACACCAAUCUCACCACGCGCACCUGAACCCUCCGGUGUUUGAGUCCGACGGCGCCAACCUCUCCCUCCCUCAUCUUCCCCUGUCGUCUUCUCCCUCGACCUCCCAGCGCAACCCAGAAGAAGAACAAAAAAAAAAAGGAGGAGAAGAAGAAAAAAAAAAAAAAACUGAAUCUGCAACCCAGAAGAAGAAAAAAAAAAAAAAAAAAACCGAAUCUGCAACCCAGAUUUGGAGGAAGAAGAAGAAGUAAAACCCAAUCCCCAAAACCCAGAAGAAGAAUAAGGAGGAGGAGGAGGAGGAAGAAGAAAAAAAAAUGAGGAACCAGUUCGCCCCCCGAGGAAGAAGAAGGAAAAGAAAAAAAAAUGAUUUUUUUUCAAAAGUUUUUGGCGGGAAAAAAAUAAUUUAAUACUACCAAAAUUCCUUAUCUAAAAAAAAAAACAAAAUCUACGUGGACCCACGUGGCGACCCACUUGGUGCCGAGUCAUUGUCCACAUGGGCGCCACGUCACAGUUAACGGGAGACUUAACAGUUUGAUUAACGGAUGUAUGAGACUGUCCCAAAAUUUACACUUUAGGUAUGACUCUAGGACGAAAAAAAAAUUGAUGUACUAAAUGUUGAAAACCACGAAACAUGAGGGUAGUAAACAGUCUUUUGCCCUUUAGUUAUUUUAUAUAUGAGUACGUAUAUGAGUACUAUUAGUCUUAUUAUAUAAAAUAACUAAAUUAUGCACCAACCUUGUUAUUACCAGGUGAAAAAUCAUGGAAUUCCAGAGACAAUGAUAAAAAAACAUGUUGAGUAUAGCAAGAGAGUUUUUCAAAUUACCAUUGAGUACAUCUUCAACCUCUCACUUUCUGGUAAUUUGAAAAACUCUCUUGCUAUACUCAACAUGUUUUUUUAUCAUUGUCUCUGGAAUUCCAUGAUUUUUCACCUGGUAAUAAAAAGGUUGGUGCAUAAUUUAGUUAUUUUAUAUAAUAAGACUAAUAGUACUCAUAUACGUAGUCAAAUAUAAAAAAACUAAAUUAUGCACCAACCUUUUUAUUACCAGGUGAAAAAUCAUGGAGUUCCAGAGACAAUGAUAAAAAACAUGUUGAGUAUAGCAAGAGAGUUUUUCAAAUUACCAGAAAGUGAGAGGUUGAAGAUGUACUCAAUGGUAAUUUGAAAAACUCUCUUGCUAUACUUAACAUGUUUUUUAUCAUUGUCUCUGGAACUUCAUGAUUUUUCACCUGGUAAUAAAAAGGUUGAUGCAUAAUUUAGUUAUUUUAUAUUUGACUACGUAUAUGAGUACUAUUAGUCUUAUUAUAUAAAAUAACUAAAUUAUGCACCAACCUUUUUAUUACCAGGUGAAAAAUCAUGGAGUUCCAGAGAUAAUGAUAAAAAACAUGUUGAGUAUAGCAAGAGAGUUUUUCAAAUUACCAAUGAGUACAUCUUCAACCUCUCACUUUCUGGUAAUUUGAAAAACUCUCUUGCUAUACUCAACAUGUUUUUUAUCAUUGUCUCUAGAACUCCAUGAUUUUUCACUUGGUAAUAAAAAUGUUGAUGCAUAAUUUAGUUAUUUUAUAUAAUAAGACUAAUAGUACUCGUAUACGUACUCAAAUAUAAAAUAACUAAAUUAUGCACCAACUUUUUUAUUACUGGGUGAAAAAUCAUGGAGUUCUAGAGAUAAUGAUAAGAAACAUGUUGAGUAUAGCGAAAGAGUUUUUCAAACUGAAAAUAUGACUUUAGCCCCUGAAACUCAAGUUUCUUUACAUAAAACCCGACAUAGUCUUUUUAUCUGAAUAAAACCCAAUGACUAGGCUCCACAUAAGCAAAUUCAUUAAUUUUGCUUGCCUUUACACAUUUUACAUUUUGCAGAUGCCUAAAAUACCCCUAAUUACCGUUUUUAAUGUAAACAUUUAAUUCUAUGCAAAUUUGAAAAAGGAGAGAUUAAUGGAAAAAAAUGCAUUAAUGUUUAAAAAUAAUAAUAUGUCAUAACAAAUUGUAUGUUAAGGAAAAAAAGAACUAAUAAUGUUAUACUUUCCUUAAGAUUUCGUAAUUGUUUUUCAAAUUUGCAUAAAAUUAGACAAUUUUAAUUUAAUCUUGUCAUUUUCUUACCAAAUGAAAAUAUGAAAGAGCACUAUAAAAUAAUUUAGCUAUAUUUAAAAAAUAUAGGUAAAUUAUUUGGACAUGUGUAUUAGUAAUAAAUUUGCCCUGUAUAUGUAAUGAUACAUGUAAAAUAAUUUACUUAUAAAAUAAAAAAAUGUUAUUUGAUUUCAAAAAAAUAAAUUUAUCUAUUAUAAUUAUAUAUAAAUAUAGGUAAAUUAUUGCACACAUAUAUAUUAGUAGUAAAAUGUGCCCAAUAUAUAUAAUAAUGCAUGAAAAUAAUUCACCUACAAAUAAAGGAAAUUUGAUUAAAAAAUAAUAUAUCUACUACUUUUUGUUUAUAAAUUUCAAUUUCCUUUUUUUAUAUUACAAACAUAAUGUACCUACAAUAUAAUUUACCUAUUGUUUAAUCUUAUAAGAAAAUAAUGUAUCUACUGUUUUAUUUUUUAUUUAUUUUUUGUCGAAUAUCUACUGUUUUAUUUUAGUAGAGAUAAUUUGUCUUGGUUUAAUUCUUACGAAAUAAUUUAGGCACUGUUUAACUUUACCAAAAUAAUGGAACUACUAUUUUAAUUUACCUACAAAAUAAAUGCUAUUUGAUUCAAAAUUAAUUUACUUAUAUUUUACAUACAAAUAUAGAUAAAUUAUUUUUAACAAGCAUAUAUGAUAACAAACAAAAAAUGCCUAACGUAUGUAAUAAUCUAGGUAAAAUAAUUUACCUACAACAUAAAAGAGUAUUAAUUGGUUCUUUAUUGUUUUUUAUCCAACAAUAUUAUUUGAUGCAAAAUAACUGAUUGUACAAGGAUUUUUUUUUUCAUAUGAAAAAUGUGCCCAUAAUUGUUUAUGAACAUGGUUAAAUUAAUAUAUAUAUAUAUAUAUAUAUAUAUAUAUAUAUUCCUAAUAUUUACCAUACAAGAAAGGUGAAAUUUUCCAUAUGGGGUUAAUUACUAAUCAUAAUUAGGGUAAGUAAUAAUAUUUAUUGACAUAAUUAGGGUUUUGUGGCAUAAGUUGUAAAUAUGUGAUAAUAAUUGGUUACAUAUUUGUCUACAUGGUACUCUAUUUGAAAUUUGGGUUUUAUUUGGAUAUUUAAUAUUAGGUGGGUUUUUGUUUGGAAAAUAAGAGUUUCAAGGGCCAUUUUCUAAAGAACCCUUUUUCAAAUUACCACUGAGUACAUCUUCAACCUCUCACUUUCUGGUAAUUUGAAAAACUCUCUUGCUAUACUCAAUAUGUUUUUUAUCAUUGUCUCUGGAACUCCAUGAUUUUUCACCUGGUAAUAAAAAGGUUGAUGCAUAAUUUAGUUAUUUUAUAUAAUAAGACUAAUAGUACUCAUAUACGUACUUAGACUAAACAUGUAAUUAAGAAUAAGGUGGUGGGAUAUAUAUGCAAGGAAAAACAAAGGCACUAAGCAACAGUUAUGCAAAAGAAUAAAAAUAAUACUGUGUCGAAAUCAUUCCCCAAGCAUAUACAUAUAUGUGUGUGUGUUAAUUAUUACUUGGAAGAAACCAUCAGUUUGGCAUGCUAGACCAAUCUGUUUGAUAAUAUCAGAGUACUAGGGGCCAUGGAGGUCCUUGAGAUCAAUGAGAGUAAUGGAGGAGGCAUCUGAUGUCUGAACAUCAGUGAGAUUUGGACGGUCGGAGAAGGGUCUGAUGUAGUUUGAAGGGACAUGGUUCACACCAGACAUGAGGUCUGUGAGCAGUAGCUUUGUUGUGGAAGCCAUUUUGCUUACGACUGAAGAGAAAAGUUGCAAAACUAAGGAAACUUGCAGGUUUAGUGAACGGGGCUUUGGAUCCCUAUCCCUUUUUAUAGAAUAUGAGGAAGCACUAUUAUAUAGAAAAUGUUUUUUUUCCCCAAAAUUGUCACAUUAGUUUAAGAACUAUAUAUAUGCCUUGAAGGGUAAUUGCUAGAGAGGUUAAAUUUCUAAGUUAAAUUUUGUAAUGCCUUGAAUUAUUAUUUUAGUCUUGAUUAACGUACUUAUUUUUUAUUUAUGAUAUAUCAUUUGGUUUGUAAAUUUAAUUAUAAAUUUUGAUCUUCCUAAUAUUAUCCGUGCUUUGAUUCGUGAAAAGUUUAGAAAAAAAAAAAUAAAAUACACAUAAAAUUAUAGAAGUCAAAGUCAAAUUAUUACUUGUACAAUUAUAAAGCUCCGCUGAGCAAUUGUUUAGCUUGUGUAACAUGAUUUAGCUCAUCAGCUCUUUAAUCUUUAUCGUGCUGGAACAAAAAAUAAAACAAAAAAUUUCGCAUCAAUCCUGCCUUUUCAUGUGAGCUCACUUUCUGCUGCUGGUAUAGUACACGCGAUAGUUUAAAACGUGCCUCUCACGUUCAACACUACAAAAUUCCAUACAGAAUUUAUUGUGUGUUGUACAUUUGAGUGUAACUUUUUCUUGUAUCUCUCAUUCACGUAUUUUGUAUAUAUUAAAUUGGCGAAAAUAAAUUAUUUUUUUAUUUAGUUGAAGUAUAGUUUAUUUUCUCUCUUAUUAUGUAAUAUAUCUUUAUAUCUAAGCUAUCAUAAGCAUAUGUUCUUUCAGUAUAGAGUACAUUUGUUUCUUAUAUCUCUCUCUUCACAUAACGUAAAAAAUGUGUCUAUCUCGUCUAUUCUAACCAUUUGCCCUUUCUCUAUAAAGAUAUGGCAAUGCAAAGGAAACCAUUAGUUAUACGGAUGUAAACUGUACGUGUCUCUCCGUUCCGCGAGUUGAGUUUUAGAUGUUCAGCCCCAAAAAGAGUUGGGUUUGGUUGUUCUAGUUGUCAGGUCGGCAUGCACCAACUGUUGCUGACGCAUGUGAUGGAGAUCCACCACCUUCUCACUAUGGAGUACAGACAGAUUUAUGAGAGGUAGGCAAAUAACAUCUUUCUGCUAUGUCAUUCACUAAUGCAAUUUAUUUGCUUAAAGGAAUAUUCAAUUUAAGAUUUUUUAGUUAAAAUAAUUCUUGAGAUUUGAAUAACAUAUAACUUUAAUCACUGAGAUUUAAAAUUAAUAGAAGUGAUCCAUGAGAUUGUCCACCAUCCAUUAUUUUGGUAAUUUCAUUAAAAAAACUCCAUCAAGUUAAGGGUAUAACACAUAACUUUGGUCCCGAAAAUUUACAUAACACAUAAUAUUGGUCCCUGAUAUUUGCAUAACACAUAACUUUGGUCCCUAAGAUUAUCCACCAUCCAACAUUUUGGUCAUUCCAUUAAAAAGCUUAGGGACAACUUAACAGAGUUUUUUAAUGGAAUGACCAAAAUAAUGGAUAGUGGACAAUCUCAAUGACCACUUUUAUUGAUUUUAUAUCUCAGAAAUCAAAGUUAUAUGUUAUGAAAAUCUCAAAGAUCAAUUUGGCUAAAAAACCUCAAUUUAAUAGAAGAGAAAUGUGAAGGAGAUUUUUAUUAAUUCUCUGUACCUCACAGUUUAACGUCAUUUCUCGUGUUAAUAUUGUAAAUAUUGUGUCAAAAACACAAAGCAUCGAAAAAUUAAUAAAUAAUCUUACUUUGAGAGAGUCUUCUUAGCAUUUCUCAUAAAUAAAUAAAAUUACUUUCGAAACAGUAAGGAAAUAGAAGGAUGAAAUACUUUUUUAAUUGAAAUAGUACUAACCUUUUAAUUUUUAAAAGGUUAGUACUAUUAUGAUUAUAUAUAUAUACACACACGAGCGCCUUUUAUGUAAAUGAAUUUUCAUUUAAAAAAAAAAUGAUGUUUAGAUGUAGGGUUCACACCACAUCAAACUUUAACUAUCUAAAAUUUUUAUUUUAUAAGUCUCAAUUCAUAGAUUAUCCUUAUAAAAAUUCAAUUCAAUCUGAACUCAUUUGCCUAUUUAAUUAUCAAGAUAAAAUUUCAUUGUUUCUUAUAUAACAAAGUAUUCAUUAAUUUAUUUGAACUCAAUUAGAUGUCUUAAACAUUUCCGAUUUGGCUAUAAUAUUUUGUAAGGAUGAUCUAUGAGGUGCAACUUAACAAAUAGACGGUUCCAAUCGUUAAAAUUCGACGUGAUGUGGACCUUACAACUAAUCCUCAUUUUUAUAAAAAAAAAUGAGAAUCCCUUCUUUUAAAUGUUUCAUAUAUAUAAAUAUAACAACAUAAUUUCUUUUGAAUCAGAUGUCAUUUGACAGUUUUGUUUUGAUAUGAGGAAACAUACGGAUGAAAAUAUUGAAUUCAAUUUACAUAGUUUUGUUUUUUUAUUUUGAAAGCUUAAGAAAAAGUUGAAUAAAAAUAGACUAUGUUGUUGCAAUCCUAUUAGAUUAGGAAUGUGAUUUUCUAAAUUUUAGUAGAUAUGGGAAUGUAUCUUAUAUUCCUAUUAGGAGUAGAUUACCUAUUAAAUGUUGUAAUCCUAAAGGGAAAGGUUUUUACCUAUCAUACUACUAUAAAUAAAGGCACAAUGGGGUGUAAUAGAACACACCCACAAUUACACAUCUCUCUUCUUCGCUAUCUAUGCCGCACCCCUCUCUCUUUAGCCUCCUUAAUUAUUCAGUAAAUUAUACCUAGAACACGUUAUCAGCACGCUAUUGACGCUGUGCUACCAAGAGAAUUUAUUCUUUAAUCUGAGGAGUAUUACGUUUUAAUCAUUCUUUUUAUAAUUAAUUUAUUAUUUUAUUGAAUUGAUCUACAUGAUAUUGAUUCAAUUUAAUUUUUUUUUGUGUUGAACGUGAUACAACGCAUUGGAAAUGCUAUUUCGGCUUUCGAGAAGGAUUUUCUACAAAUUCAAAGGCUUUUAUUGUUUUCUGCCCAUCAGGUACGCUUAAAAUAAAGUAAGAUAUUUGAAUCGACCAUGAAGCAUGAAAAUAUUCCUCAUGAUGCAUGAACCCCCUAUGUUUAUAUUUUCCUUCCGAUAUAUAUAUAUAUAUAUAUAUAUAUAUAUAUAUAUUGUAUAUGUUCAUAUAUUUGUUUCUUGCACUACGCAAUUGUAUUUGCUAUGUGGAAUUUGUGAGUCAAAUUAUAUAAAAUAAAUUAGAAGAAAUUUAGGGUUUUCAAACCCUAAUUCUGUCGAAAAAAUAUAUGGGCACUUGCAGCACCACCACCACAGACACCUUGGACCCCUCACAGUAGCAGCCCUAGGGCUUUGCUGCGCUAAUCCAGACCAUUAGACCUUUCGGCCUAUCUCUGUUUAUAGGACAUGCAGUCCCUAAGCCCAAAACCAGCAGAUUAUGGCCCAUUAUCCCGUGUCCCUUGGCCCGUGAACUCACUAGGCUUCGCCCGAAUCUCGACCUACUUGCCAGCAGCUUUGGCUGCUGGGCUUAAGUUGCCUCAGACCUAACCCGCAGGCCAACAUUUUGUUAGGCCUGAUCCGUGCCCCUCCUUUAGCCCAAAGAGCCAGCAGCUACUGCUGCUGGGCUCUAUGUUCUUGGCCCAUGGCCUGAAGACCAUUUUGUGGGCUGCUUUUAUAGCCAUACCCAACCCGAGCCCCUCAUUUGGCUCACGGCACCGAGCCUUAUCUUUUAGGCUAUGGUAUUUUCGACCCAACGCUAUUAUUUAGCAUUUUAAAUCAUUUUAACCCAAAUGUUAUUAUUAAUUUUGCUUCUACGAUCGACCCAGAAUGGUCCCGAUCUAUUGAAUUAAUUAAAAGUGACCUACAGUCCAUUAAUCUGAUAAUGAAUCCAAAAUUAUUGACCCGAAGAUCAUUUUUGGACAUUAACAAUUCAAUAGUAUAUUUUUAUACUUUGAACCGUUGACAUACUUUCGUAUUCCCGAAGCACUCACACUUGAGUUCCUGAAACAACCCAAAUCCACUACACUUAGUUGUAUAUUGCAUUAUGUGUUCUUGCAGGAACCUCUCUUUUAUGAACUAAACGUUCAUAAACUAAAUUGAACCUGUAGUGUUAAAUUUAGUGUCUUUGAAACCUGAAGAUUUCAUAACACAAUAUACCCAUGAAAACCAUGUCUUAUAACUCGAAUGUUCUAACUUUGAUGCUUAUGGAUGAUUCAUUCCCAUAACACCAAUCACAAUCUUGUUCCCUCCAAAUUUAAUGGAUUGUCGAACCGUCACAAGUUUGAUUUCCCUAAUUUGGAUGUUUCUAAUAGAAACUACUUUAUGUGGGGUACAAGACAUGAAUCUCCACUUGAUUAUCAAGAAGCUGAGAAGCCAUUGAAGUCAACAAUAGCAUGGAAGAGCUAAAUAAGCCUCCACCAUGAUCUUCAUUCGAAGACUUAUGCUCAAAGCAUUACAAAUGGAAAUACCUCUUGAUCGAGGAUUCCAUGGCUCUUUAGCUCGCUUCUACGGACUGUCUAAUCAUGAAAGACAUUGCCUAAAGCAUACCAUGAUUAGGUCCAUGAAUGAGUACAAUUCUGAAGUUUAAAAUCCGAUCGAAUUUUGACUGGAGAAUACUUUUCUCAUUUUUCCUUGUUUCUAAAUCGCCCCUAAAGUAGCAGUGUAGAUAGCGGAAGUUUACCAAAUUCUCGAAUCUAAUUACUACCAUAAACGUGAGAGAAAGGUAUGGACCCAGUUCGGCUGGAGUCUACCGAAUAGCUCGACCCAGUUCGAUCAAAGCCUACCAAAUGGUGAUACACUGCUUUGGCAGGGAUACACCGAAUGGAAUAUUCUCUCACAAUCCAAUUUUGAGUUUGUUUUUACAACAUAUGGUAGAAUCAGGGCCUGCCAAGGUGUGCAUCAUGCCCGAAGCAUGAUCCUUGGUACCUAAGACCUAAAACUUCAAGAAUAAGGGAUAGUAUUCCUAAAGCCUUAACCCUGCAGAAUCUAUUUCCGUCUCGAUGAAAUAGAUCAUUGGUUAUGUACCUAUUUGUGCCCCUACCAAUGUUGUUGAGGAGUACCAUUUUAGUAGUCAAUAUGUGAGACUAACUUUGCUUCACCAAACACCAUUGGAAGAAUAAAAUUUUGACAUGGAUGGCCUUGUUGGCCGAAUCCCCUUAGUAAACCAUUUACUUUAUGAACAUUUUUCCAUGUUCUUGGAUUCAUGUUUAGUGUAUGUUUUACUUAUGGAUAAUCUUAUUAAUAUUGUCCUCGACCAGCUGCAAGAAUCUGAUGGUCAGAUUUUACUUGAUCAUCAGAGGUUUAUGGGUUUGUUCCAAAGGCAUGUAUUGCCUUCGUUUUCUGCGGCUGUACCGCGUAAUGAAGCUCCAAAUGAUCGACCUUCGGUGCCUCCUCCUUCUGGGGUUCUACCUAGUACUGAGGCUUCGAAUAAUCACCCUUUGGUGCCUCCUCUUUCUGGGGCUCUGCCGACUGCUGAGACUUCUCUUGAGCAACCUUUGUGAAUGCUCCCUCUUGUUUGUUUAUUUUGAUUCAUGUAUAUGUACAUAUUUGUAACUUAUCGGAGAUAUCAAUCAACAAGCUUUGCUUCAUUUCAACGUAUUGUGUUAAAUACACCAAGGCCUUCUUCACUAAGUUCUUUGAAUUUUUCCUUAUGUUGAAGCUUAUAUGUUGAAGCUUUGUGAAUGAAGCAUGCAGGUUGAGGUAUUGCUCCCUUAAUUUCCUGAGUGAGGAAAACUUCUCGUUUGGAGACUUGAAAAAUCCAAGUCACUGAGUGAUCGUGAGACUUCUGAGUAUCAAGGUGCAGUAGCAUAUGGUAGGAGUCCCCCAAGUCUCCGGUCGAGGGAGUUGACGAAUGAGGCAUUUCCUUUCUAAGUGGUAGCCCAAAACUCCUUCUUCAUAUAUAUUUGUUAUGAAAGUUGUUAGGCCCAAAGAAGAGGAGGCCUAGGCAAUUUUUUUUUUCGAAAUUUGUUUUUUCGAUUUUUUUUUUCGAAUUUUCGAAUUUUUGAAUUUCCAAAUUUUUGAAUUUUCGAAUUUCCAAAAAAAAAAAUUAAAUAUAUAUAUAUAUAUAUUUUAAAGCUUUGUAGGUGAAGCUUUGGUGUUGAAUCUUUGUAGGUGAAGCUUUGAGGUUGAAGCUUUGUUGGGCGCCAUGAAUUGAUUUUGCUUCACACUAUCUUGAUCAAGAUAGUGUGAAGCUUUUGUAGGUGAAACUUUUGUGUUGAAGUUUUGCAGGUGAAGCUUUUGUGGGUCAAGCUUUUGUAGGUGAAGCUUUUGUGGGUCAAGCUUGUGUAGGUGAAGCUUUUGUGGGUCAAGCUUGUGUAGGUGAAGCUUUUGUGGGUCAAGCUUUUGUGGGUUGAAGUUUUGCAGGUGAAGCUUUUGUGGGUCAAGCUUUUGUAGGUGAAGCUUUUGUGGGUCAAGCUUUUGUGGGUCAAGCUUUUGUAAGUGAAGCUUUGGAGUUGAUCAAGAUAGUGUGAAGCUUUUGAGAAUUUGUAGUUGUCCUCCAUUGAUGAAACUUUUGUUGGUGAAGCUUUUGUUUUGAAGCUUUGUAGGUGAACCUUUGGAGUUGAAGCUUUUUUUGGAUACCAUGAAUUGAUUUUGCUUCACACUAUCUUGAUCAAGAUAGUGUGAAGCUUUUGAGAAUUUGUAGUUGUCCUCCAUUGAUGAAGUUUUUGUUGGUGAAGCUUUGGAGUUCAAGCUGUUGUUGGGUACCAUGAAUUGAUUUUGCUUCACACUAUCUUGAUCAAGAUAGUGUGAAGCUUUUGAGAAUUUGUAGUUGUCCUCCAUUGAUGAAGCUUUGUUGAAUUUCCCAAUUUUUUUUAUUUUUUAUUUUUUUUGGGAAACUAGAAAUUUGAAAAUGUGGGAGAGACAACAUAUACAAAUUUUGCUUCCACACUGUUGAGCAAGAGAUUGUGAUGCAAGCCACACCUUGUCGUAGUCGAAGGUUUGGAUGAACCAUAUAAAUUGAAUUUGCUUCGAACAGUCUUGAAUUUGCUUCGAAGGUUUGAGAAUUGUAGUUGCCCUCAAUUGAUGAAGCUUUUGUUGGCACCAUAAAUUGGUUAUGCUUCACACUAUCUUGAUCAAGAGUGUGUGAAGCUUUUGAGAAUUGUGGUUGAAAUCAUUUGAUGAAGCUUUUGUUGGCACCAUAAAUUGGUUUUGCUUCACACUGUCUUGAUCAAGAGUGUGUGAAGCUUUUGAGAAUUGUGGUUGCCCUCCAUUGAUGAAGCUCUUGUUGGCACCAUAAAUUGGUUUUGCUUCACACUGUCUUGAUCAAGAGUGUGUGAAGCUUUUGAGAAUUGUGGUUAAACUUCUUUGAUGAAGCUCUUGUUGGCACCAUAAAUUGGUUUUGCUUUACACUGUUUGAUCAAGAGUGAGUGAAGCUUUUAAGAAUUGUGGUUGAACUCCUUUGAUGAAGCUCUUGUUGGCACCAUAAAUUGGUUUUGCUUUACACUGUCUUGAUCAAGAGUGUGUGAAGCUUUUGAGAAUUGUGGUUGCCCUCCAUUGAUGAAGCUCUUGUUGGCACCAUAAAUUGCUUUUGCUUCACACUGUCUUGAUCAAGAGUGUGUGAAGCUUUUGAGAAUUGUGGUUGAACUCCUUUGAUGAAGCUCUUGUUGGCACCAUAAAUUGCUUUUGCUUCACACUAUCUUGAUUAAGAGUGUGUGAAGCUUUCUACGAGUUGUAGUGUUUGCAUUGUUACAGAGGGGAAAUGUUUGAAACAGAUGCAAGAGGGCUGAAUAGCUUGAUCUUCGUAUGCCAUGCACUGAAGUUGUUGUUGGCUUGUAAUAAGACUUUGUUGGUGACUAUAACUCUUGUUAGGCAUAAGUGCUCCCCUAGUUGAGUUGUCAAGCUUGAGGGUUUUUGAUUAUUUGUGAAUGCUAGGAGUUCACAUGUACAAGUUGUACCACUCCUCUUCUGGUAGGUGUAAUGAAUGGUGAGUUACUUUCAUCACUUGGUUGGUGGUACGAAUGUGAGUUCCUUCAUCACCUUUCAUCACAUUUCAUCACCUAGUUGGUGGCACGAGGAUGAGUUCCUUCUUCACCUGGUUGGUGGUAUGAAUGGCAAGUUGCCAAAUGAUAUUAGAGUACAGGUUGUACAUUUCAUCACCUAGUUGGUGGCAUGAGGGAGAGUACAGGUUGUACAUUUCAUCACCUGGUUGGUGGCAUGAAGAUGAGUUCCUUCUUCACCUGGUUGGUGGCAUGAGUGGCAAGUUGCCAAAUGAUAUUAGAGUACGGGUUGUACAUUUUAUCACCUGGUUGGUGGCAUGAAGGAGAGUACGGGUUGUACAUUUCAUCACCUGGUUGGUGGCAUGAAGAUAAGUUCUUUCUUUACAUUUCAUCACCUGGUUGGUGAGAAUAAUGGCAAGGUGUUUAGGCACAUUGUAGCAAGUGUCGAAUGAUACAAAGUAUGUUAAACCCUUUCAAAGCACAGUUGGCUUAUAUAUGAAUGUGUUGGAAUGUAUGAUUGAACGAAUAUACUGUGAAGCUGUUCGUUUAUUUGUAUAGUCCUGUUGACAUAUACUUAGACUUUGUUUCAUGUUGGAAGCAUUCAUGUUGAAGCUUUGAACCCGAGUGUUUCAUUGCUAGGAAUGUAAGAGGAUUAGGAUCGAGUUAUCUAAAUCACCAUUUUAUUGAAUUCAUGCCAAAUAGUCUUUAUUACAUAGGAUGCCGAACGGCUGAAGCUUAACACUUGUACAAUGUGAGUUUACUUGUAAUAGUACUUCAAGUGAUCAGCGUUCCAUGGAUGGCCAAGGGUCUUGCCAUCGGAGCUUCUAAGCUUGUAGGAGCCAGGGCGACUGAUGCCAACAACUUCAAACGGUCCAUCCCAAUUUGGACUAAGUGUUCCUUCACUCGGGACUCUGUCGCAGAGUAAUCUUUUCUUUAAUACCCAGUCCCCUACUUUAAAAGAACGAGGUUUGACCCUGGAGUCAUAGUAGUUGGAGAUGCGCUGCUUGUAGGCGACAUUCCUCAAGUGAGCCUGGUUUAUGUGUUCCUCAACUAAAUCUAAGUUGAGGGUAAUUUGUUUGUCAUUUUCGCUUUGCAUGUAGUUCUGGACUCGGAACUUUGCUUGCUCAAGCUCAACUGGGACAACUGCCUUUGUACCAAAGGCAAGUGAGAAUGGGGUUUCUCCUGUUGAUGUUCGAUAUGAAGUGCGGUAUGACCAAAGAACUUGGGGUACAAAUUCUGGCUAACAACCUUUAGCCUUGUCCAAGCUGAUUUUCAAAGUUCGCUUGAUUAUUUUGUUGAUGGCUUCAACUUGUCCAUUAGACUGGGGAUGAGCUGGAGAGGUAAAACAUAAGUUGAUGUUGAACUUAGAGCAGAACAUCCUGAACUUAUUGUUGUCGAACUGUCGCCCGUUGUCAGUGACUAUCGGAUUGGGAAUGCCAAAUCUGCAAAGGAUGUUCUUCCAUACGAAGUCUUCUAUUUUUGCCUCAGUAAUGGUUGCCAAGGGUUCUACUUCGGCCCACUUUGUGAACUAGUCAACUGCAACUAUUACAUAGCGGACAUUACCCUUCCCUGCAGGCAUUAGGCCAAUCAAAUCAAGUCCUCAUUGGGCCAAGGGCCAAGGGCUGAUCAUAGGAGUGAGCGGCUCGGGAUGAGAGUGAGGAAUAGUUGCGUAGUGUUGACACUUAUCACAUGAGCGAGAUAUUCUGAUGGCAUCUUGGUGGAGUGUUGGCCAGUAAUAUCCUUGGCAAAAAGCCUUGUGUGCUAGGGAUCAAGAUCCAGCAUGAUCUCCGCAGACUCCUUCAUGUAUUUCUCGAAGGACAAUUUCCGCCUCUGCAUACGUAAGGCAUCUUAGGUAUGGUAGGUUAAAACCCCGUUUGUAGAGUUGGUCAUUAAUGAUCAAGUAACGGGUAGCCUUGUAUCGAAUCUGCUUAGCUUGGACUUUGUCAUUUGGAAGAGUGCCAUGAGCAAGGAAUCUAUAAAUCGAGGUAAUCCAACUAUCCCCCUGUUGUAAGUUGUACACUUCUACAGCCUUGGUGCUGCCAACAAUUCGACCUGAAUUUUUCUUCCAAUCUUGUCUUCCACCGCUGAGGCGAGGUGAGCCAAAGCAUCUGCAUGACUGUUUGCCGUUCGAGAAAUUUGGGUGAUCUAGUAGAGGAAGUGCUUGAGCAACAAUUGUGUUUGUGCCAGAUAGGCUGCCAUGGAGCUAUCCUUAGCGUCAAAGUUGUUGGUGACCUGGUUAACCACCAAUUGGGAGUCACUGAAAAUAUCAAUUCGUUUAACCCCAAGGUGUUUAGCCAAACGUAAGCCUGCUAGGAGGGCUUCAUAUUCGGCCUCAUUAUUCGACGCCUUGAAUUUGAAAAGAAUAGCAUACUCCAUCGCCACUUUGUCAGGGGUUGUAAGGACUAGUCCUCCUCUACAACCCUGUUGGUUGGAUGAGCCAUCAACAUAUAGACUCUAUGAUGGGGCUGUUGGUUCUAUUUUCUGAGCUUCCGAGGGUAAUGAAACCACUUCUUUAGGCAUAGAAACAAUGUCAACAGGAUAUGUGAAGUCGGCGAUGAAGUCUGCCACUACUUGGCCCUUCUCAGCUAGCUUUGGUUGGUAGGAGAUGUCAAACUCACCCAAUGCUAUCGCCCAUUUGAUCAUUCGCCCGUAAGUUUCAGGACUUUGGAGUAUCUAUCGAAGAGGAUGAUUAGUAAGCACAAUGAUGAAGUGUGCUUGGAAGUAAGGGCGAAGUUUUCGAGCAGACAUGACCAAUGCUAGAGCCAAUUUCUCAAUGUUGGAGUAUCGUGUCUCCGCAUCUUGUAAGGCAUUGCUAGCGUAGUAGACAUGUCGUUCGACAUUACCAUUCUUUCGAAUGAGUACGGAAUUUACUGCUGAAGCCGAUACCGACAGAUAGAUAAUGAGAGUGUCACCAACCUCAGGUUUGGAAAGCAUAGGGGUUUUACUCAUGUAGUCUUUGAGGUUCUUGAAUGCCUCAGCACAUUCAUCAGUCCAUGUAAUGUACUUCUUACUUCUCUUAAGUGCUUUGAAGAAGUGAGCACAUCUGUCUGUGGCCUUAGAGAUGAACCUAGUUAAGGCUGCCACCUUGCCAGUAAGGCUCUAGUUGUUUUUUAAAAUUACCGGUUCCUUCAUGUCGAGGAUUGCUUUGAUCUUCUCGGGAUUAGCCUUAAUGCCUCGUUGGCUUAUCAUGAAGCUUAAGAAUUUGCCAAAGCCUACGCCGAAGGCACAUUUGUUGGGGUUCAAUCUCAUUCAAUACCUCUUCAAAAUGGUGAAAGUUUCAGAUAGGUUGGUGAUGUGUUGGUCAGCAUGUUUUCUCUUGACUAGCAUAUCAUUAACAUAAACUUCCAUGCUCUUCCCAAUCUAUUCAGCGAACAUUGAAUUGACCAGUCUCUGAUAAGUCGCUCCUGCAUUCUUUAGGCUGAAAGGCAUGACUUUACAACAAUAUAGUCCCCUGUCAGUAGUGAAGGCUAUGUGUUCUUGGUCCGGAGGGUUCAUGAGGAUUUGGUUGUAUCAUGAGUAAGCAUCCAUGAAGCUCAGAAGUUCACACCCUGCCGUAGAGUCUAUAAGUCUGUCUAUGAGAGGAAGAGGAAAGCUAUCCUUCGGGCAUCAUUUGUUUAGGUCGGUGUAAUCGACACACAUUCUCCACAAGACCUUUUGGAGCAGGAGACUUUCCUUGGUCAGAUUCUUCUUAACAAGGACAACAUUUGCUAUCCACGUUGGAUAAUUGACUUCGCGGACGAAGCCUAUGCCUUUGAGUUUUUCAACUUCUGCCUUCAUUGCCUCGUACUGUUCAGCGUUAUAAGAUCUUCAUUUCUGUCUCAUUGGCUUGGUCUUGGGUCAAUACUUAAGCGAUGACAGAUUAUAUCGGGAGAGAUGCCUGGCAUGUCCUCGUAUAACUAGGCGAAAACCUCAGUGUUCUCUUGCAAAAAAGAGAUCAAUGCCAACCGAAUGGGUGGUAACAAGGUGGUACCAAUCUUCACCAUGUUAUCUGGAUAAUCUUUUGAGAUAGAGACCUUCUCUAACUCUUUAGCGGGUUGUGCUUACUGGAUGAAAGAGUCAUCUCGAGGAUCAUCGGGUUGACUAUUGCCACCGUGAAGAUCCAAGUUGGCUUCGUCUGGGCUGGUCUUUAUGACUUGGUCAUGUAUAGAAAGGGUUUCCUUGGGCACAUACAGGUGCUGUUGCUUGACCGAAGUGUUGUAACAUGAUCGUACACUAAGUUGAUCUCCUCUGAUGUAACCAUUGCCAUAGGGGGUUGGAAAUUUCAUCAACAACAUAUGUGUGGAUACCAUGGCCUUGAGAUUAUUGAUGCAUGUGCGUCCGAAGAUGACAUUGUAUGUCGUUGGGUAAUCAACCACCAGGAAGUUAGUGGUAAUGGUAGCUGUGUAAGGGCCUAUACCAAUGGUGAAAGGUAAGUGUAUGCUUCCCAAAGGUUGCACGAUAUCACCGGAGAACCUUAUCAGAGGGGAAAUCGAGUGGUCGAGCAAGUGUUCAGCUACAUUAAGUGCCCUAAAAGCUUCAGCAAACAUGAUAUUGACCGAAGCCCCCGUGUCUACCAGGAUUCAUCGUACUUCAAAAUUGGUUAUGUGAGCUUCCACGAUCAGUAGGUUGUUGUGAGGGUAGAUGAUACCUCUUUCUUCCUCAGGGUAGAAACAUAUUGGAUCCCAGUUAGGCUUUUGAUACUUACCUCCCCUGAUGUCUUCCACGUGAAACACUUGGUAGCCAGACCUUAAAGCUCGUUCACUAUUUUUCAUGGCCCUGUUGGAAGAUUUAGAUAUGGGUGUGCCACCACUUAUCGAAUAUCACAUUCACCUGGCGUUGGUUAUGGUUACCCCUUAGAGGGUGAAGGAGGAAUUGUUCAAUUUUUCUUUCACGUGCCGAAGCUUCAACAUGAUCACGAAGGGUGAUAAACUUCUCGCCGUCAUGGCCGUUAUGCUCGUGGUAGCAGCAAAACGUGCCCGUGUUCUUCGUGGGCUUGUAAUCUGGGUGCCUCGACUUUGGCUUUGGUAUCAAGCAUGCUAUGCAGGGGUAAAUGGCCACGCAUGUGGCGUUCAAGGGUGUGUAUGACUCAUACCUCAGGGUAGGGGCUGUCCUGACACGUGCUUGACCCACUGUGUUGACUGCCUGGGGCUGGGGAUUAUCACGGCGAUACCCUUGGUUAUCGCAGUAGUGUCCCUUACUCCUUUUACUAAAAUGAGACUGGUGAGGAUGUAAAUCUUUCCUUUUUCCCUGAGAUUGAUAUGUUUGUUGACUUGGCAAAGUAUUAAGUAAGGCAGAGGGAGGCACCACUGCUGUUUGGAAGUUCGAUGUCUUUUCAUUUGGUUGGAUCUGGCUUCCACUCCCUACUUGCUGAUAAGGGGUGGCUGUGGGGGGUUUUCCUUAAUAUGUCUUUGCCUCGGCGGAGGCAUGGUUGUAAGCAUGUGCCAUCACCUCAGAGUAAGUCUUCCAAGUGUUGGCAUUGAUCAUGUACUUAAAGAAACAGUCACGUAGGCCUGCCGUGAAGGCUUUGAGGGCAGUCUUGUCGUCUGCCUCGGCAUAACGGGAAUACUCAUGGCUGAAGCGGCCAGCAUACAUACAUAAUGACUCGUCUGACUUCUGGCGAAUAGUGUACAAGUCAUCUGCAGAAUGCAAGCGAUCGGUCUGGAAGAUAUGUUGAGAGACAAACAGUUUCCUCAGUUCCUCAAAUGAGUCUAUUGUCUCAGGUGGAAGACGGCAAUACCAGUUUAGAGCUCUGCCAGAGAGGAUGGAGGAGAAGAGAAGACAUCGCUGUUCGUCGGUGUGCAUCUGAUAUGCCAUGGUGGACUCAAAAAGGUUAAGGUGUUCAAUUGGGUCCUCCCUUCCAGUAUAGAGUUGUAAACCAAGCUUUUGUUUUAUCUUCGCUUGAAGGGGGGUGUCGAGGAUCCUUCUUGUGAGAGGGCCAGGCCUAGGUUGGUUCCAGUCAAGUAUCUCUGCCUGACGUUCAGCCUUCAACUUGUUUACUUCCUCAAGGAGCUGUAGAACAUGGGGGUCCUGAGUGGAGACAUGUACCACUGGGAUUUUCUUUCGUAAGUCUCCAUCGCCUCUUGGAAGUAGGAAAGUUUGAGCAAGGGCGUGUGAUUUUUCCUUGGACUCGCCGUAUUGACUUCUAGGGCAUGUGAUUUUUCCAUGUACCCAUGUACCUUCAUGUUCCUCUGGGACUUGUCGUUCUUUCCCUAGAUUAGCAGCUGGCCUAGGUCAUGGGUGGAAACCGAGUCUUUCAGAAACCCUUGGGUUAUUGAUCUUAGAGCAUAUGUGGAGGGGAUUCUCUUGACGUUGCUUUAGGAAGUCUCGGCAAUCACGAUAAACGGCUUUCGAUCCUUCCAACCCUUCUGCAAGGAUGUGUCUUCCUCUAUUUCUCCUGCUUCAGGUCGAAGCAGCUGGGUUGAGAGAAGUCUCAUGUUGAUCAAUGUUUUGAUGAUUAGCUCGCUCCUCAUCAGGGAUACCCAUGUCGAAGGAAGGUGACCUUCCGUGUUGGGGGGCACCCAGGUGAUGAUUGAUGUCCACAGGGGUAACGAGCUCGCAUGUUUGAGUACGCCUAGUUUCGUGGAGCAUCUCAAAGAGCUUCUCAUACUCCUCUUGGAGGACCUCAUUCUUCAUUGCUAUCUUGUUGUUCUGAGCUUCUAACUCAUCGACUUUAGCUUGAAGAGCAACCCUCUUUCCUUCAUUCUUUCGUUGCUUCAUACUAGGUGCAAGAUGGGUGUCAUUCUGUGUGUUGUGGCUUCCUUCGCUCCCCAUGUUAGAGACAGAUGCCUGGUCAAAAGAGAGUGUAUGGAUGGUGGAAACUAUCUUGACAAAGCUGAAGAGAGUGGGAAUAAGUGUCGUUCUCAUAGACGGUGUCAAAUGUUGAUGCACAAAAUCAGCGAGGACUUUGGUACAACAGAAAGUGUUAAGUUUGUAACCUUCGCUAGAUUGCUCCGGUCACUAGUGUGGGUAAGUAUGUAAUAGAUAGGGACAGGGAAGCAAACACAAUAUGUACGUGGUUCACCCAGAUUGGCUACGUCCACGGAGUAGAAAAGUUCUCAUUAAUUGUGAAGGGUUUACACAAGUACAUAAGUUCAAGCUCUCCUUUUGUGAGUACUGGUGAAUGAUUUAGUAUAAAUGAUAUUAGGAAAUAUUGUGAGAGAAUGAUCUCUAUUUAUGGAAUAAAGUUUUUAGUUUCAUUCUGACAUUGACACGUGUCGUGUUGUGAUUGGCUUCUGAUGUUGACACGUGUCGCACUAUGAUUGACUUCUGAUGUUGACACAUGUCGCACUGUGAUUAGCCUCCUGGUUGUAGGGAAACUAACUCUUCUGGGUCCUUGAUGGUAUAACGUUGACCGAUGCUCAGUAGUUUCGGGAUUGGUCAAGUAUGGUACAAACAACUUCUCUACCACAAUGAGAAAAUAUUUAUACAUUUUAUUUUUUCUUCUUCUGCCUUAUCUCUCUUCCCUCUCGGCAUUCUCCCCGACUGCUACUCCCGUUCUAACAAAAAAACCAAAAAUCAUCAAUUUCAUCUCCUCCUCCAAAUCAACACUGCCAUGCAUUAAUUUUAAUUCGCACCCGAACUCUUAGAACCCUCGAACUCAGUUUGGUGGGAGAGAAAGCAGAAACUAGCCGAAAGCCCUAUUUGGUUAGGUUUUUAUAUAUUUGAUAAUUAUUAUUUCUUCGCUGUUGUAGGCCUUAGUUUAUUAGCCGCUUUCUACAUAGGUCUUUGUUUAUUAGCCCGAGUAAUGUUAGGGAGAUCAAAUUUUUUAAAUCAAAUGAUAUGGUUGUAGAUGAUUAGCUUAGUAAUUAAGUAUCGAUUUGUUUCUUAUUUGUAACACAUUAUUUAAUUUUCAAGUUUAAUUUCUAAAAUAUAAUCUCCAUAACAUUAUCUUUAUUAGCCACUUGUUGGCAUAGGUCUAAAAAAUUAAUAAACAUAAAUUACAACCUGUGUGGCUAUGUCAGCAAGUGGCUAAUAAACAUUUUUAAGCAACAAUUAAGGUUGCUAAUAAACAUAGGUUGAUCUAGUGAUUGAAAUUUAUAUCGUUCAUCAAAUCUAAUGAUCAUAAGUGCUCUGUCACUCCGGCUGCUCCGGAAAAAAAAAAUCAUAAAAUGGUUGACACAACAUUUUGGUGGAAAAAGAAAAAACAAGAAAUUACUCAAACUAUUUAUUUUUUAUUUUUUUGGGGGCAGAAAAUAGAACUUAAUCUUUGAGCUAGAGUUCUUGAAUUCUGUAGAUAAAGUAGCAAAUCCGCUUUGAAAUCAAAUUUGAGAUUUCAAAUUUCUAUAACUGAAAUGUUCAAGUUUAAGCAGGGGCGGAGCCACCAAGGGACUAGGGUAGUCCCCGGCCCAUCCUGACUUCAUUUGAGGUGUGAACCUCAUGGAAGAAGAUGAAGCAAAUGACAUCAUUAAGCUGUUUUGAUUUUAAAUCUUUUCGGCUGUCUAAUGAAACGAUAAGUUUGGCAGGGGAGUUUUAAAAGAGAUGCACAAUUUUAAAUGGAAAAAGCAACCCCACUUCUGAUUCGAUUCUCUCACCUAACAGUAAUAUACACCCUAUAAUUUUCUAAAGCAACCCACCUUCUUUAUUAGCAGACCUCUUCCCCUUUUCCUUCUUUUUCUACUUCUUUGUAUUUUCUUUAGCCUUCCACAACCUUCCACAACCUACCUCUUACUUGGUUGUCUUAGUUUUUACAUUUUUUUCUUCUUAGUAUUGAAUUUAAGAGAUUUUUUUCAGUUUUGUGAGGAUUACACAAAUUGCAUAUGUCAACAUGUUAUGAAUUCAAAUUUUUACACACACUCAUAUACAUACAUAUUUGUGAAAAGCCCAUCCUCAUUCAUAAUUCUGGCUCCGCCACUGAGUUUAAGUAGAGUAGAUAUAUAGAUGCAGCAGUCCACGUUUUAUAGAAGUGACUUCAAAUAAGUUAUGUUGAGUUUGGCAAUGUUUUAGAAUCCGACGGUCCUGAUUGUCAUAUUAUUGCAUCAAAAUUGAGCCGUUUUACUCUCUAUUUCUCUCUCACACUCUCUUUUUCUAAGAGCAACUCCAGCGUUGCUGGUUGCUCAGGGGACAGGCAAGGAGAAAGGACCCGACGGCCGGGGGAUGGGGAUCCAGCGUUGCUGGUUGCUCGGGGGACAGGCGAGGAGAAAGGGCCCGAGCGACAGGCCCGAGCGAGGAUUGCCAGCCCGAUAGCCUGAGGGCUGUGUGACGUAUGGCUGAUGUGCGGCAUCGAUGCAUGCGCUCGGUGUUCUCUGCGUCCUCCUUCCUCCUUCCUCCUCGUCCUCCUUCCCCUCCUCGCCCUCCUUCCUCCUCGGUGUUCCAUGGCUGCUGCUGAGAGAGAGAGAGAGAGAGAGAGAGAGAGAGAGAGAGAGAAAGGACCGGUCCUCCUUCCUCCUCGGUGUUCCAUGGUUGUUGCUGUGAGAGAAAGAGAGAGAGUACCGGUCAAAAUUAGGAAAAAAUAAUAAUAUUUUAUGGAUUGGGUGAGAAAAAUAAUAAUAUUUUAUGGAUUGGGUGAGAAAAAAAAUAUUAAUAUUUUAUUACUAAUUGCCAGGGGGAAGGGUUUCAAGGGUGGAGAUGCAAAUGGCAAUUACUAUUUAUUAAGGGCAGUUACUGUUCACUAGGUGGAUUGAAUAGUGGAUUGCCAGGGGGAGGGCUCCAAGGGUGGAGUGCUCUAAGGGAUGUGAUAGACACACACUCCAUUUUACUUUUCAAACACCCUUUUAAUUUUCGACCGUUGGAUCGGAUAAAUUGAAGAAAAUCAACAGAUAUAAAUUAAUAAAGAGUGUAUGAAGUAAUUUGUGAUGUGUAUAUAGCACAACACUUUUCUAAAAGACAACUACUUUAUUAAGUGGAAUGAUUACCAACAACUUUUCGUCUUUUCCAAAUGAGAAUGUCUGCAAGACUGCUACUUUCAAUUUUGUUUGAAACAAAAGUCAUCGUGACUUUUACAAGGUUGAGUGGCUUUGACACGGUGUAAAUCCACACACGGAAUGAGUCACAACUUUAACAUUCUUCAUAUUUAAAAUACAAAAUUAAAAACUAAGAAGUGUAAUACUAGGGGAACAAUUUAAUUAACUUUUGUAAGAAAUAUGACGUAAUUGUUGAUGAUUAAAUUAUUACUUAAGUAUUGAUUAACGUAAUCAUUUUUUAUUAAUGAUAUAGCACAUGCUUUACAAAUUUGAUCUACUUAGCAUUCUUUAAACUAAAAACAGCAAUGUGCAUUUCUUUUGUUCUUUUUCUUGAAAACUUCAGUGAAAUGAUAACUAGGCAACUCAAGUGGACAAUGUUACAUCCCGGACUCCACUCCGCCGUAGCACAAUAUUGUUCGCUUUGGGCCCCCGACCACGCCCUCACAGUUUUGUUUCUAGAAACUCACGAGAGCAGAACUUCCUAGUGAGUCACCCAUCCUGGAAAUGCUCUGGCUCUCCUUAGGGGCCCGACGUCCUUGUCGGCACACAUCUGCCCAGAGAUUGGCUCCGAUACCAAACUGACACACCCCGACCUAGAUCGAGGCAUGAUGGCCAUCACGUGAGGGUGACGUAGCCAUGUGCGUAGUGCAGAAUUGAAAUUAAUAAGAAGAAAUGCGAAUAACCUAGAACCAAGCUAACUAAAUUACACCUAAACACCAUGCUUGCACUUAUGUUUCCUUAGUGUAAAUUAGUUAGCUUGGUUCUAGGUUAUUCACAUUUCUUCUUAUUAAUUUCAAUUCCACACUAAGCAUAUGACUACGUCACCCUCACGUGACGGGCAGCAUGCCUCGAUCUAGGUCGAGGUGUGUCAGACAACACUAUUUGUCCUUGGCAUAGCAAACAUUUGAGGGUCCAAUCUUGCUCAUCACUAUAAACUAUAGUGCAUACUCUAUACUUAAAAAUCUGCUACGUGCCAUUUCACUUAACCUUAAUUAAUCUUCUUCAAAAUUAAAAUAAAAAUUAAUAUAAAAUUAAUAAAUUAAAUGAAAUAACAUGUGAAAAUGAUUGCCCAAAAAAUAACUAAAGGUGCAUCUUUUUGUAUUUCUCACACUUUCUUUACACACUUUUGCUAAAGGUACAUCUUUUUUAUUUCUCACUUGCUUUUCCUAAAGAUGCAUCUUUUAUGUUUCUCACUUUCUUUUUCUAAAGGUGCAUCUUUUCUAUUUCUUACACUGUUUUUUUUUCUUCUAACAGAGAGAGGAUUCUUUUCGGAUUCUCUUUAUGAGAAUUCUAAGGAUCCUUCAAUUAUGUCCGUUUAUCAUAUAUUGUACAACCCACUUUUAUCAGGUAAUGUUUAUAUUAAAUUUUAAAUAAAAAAAUUUACAAUGAUUUUGAAAAUCUUCACACAAAGAAUCCAAGGAGGAUCCUCAUUCAUUAAUAACCACCAAGGUCGUAGCCAUGUUUGAAAUCUGUGUUGUCUUUUGCAUCUGUAGGAUGCAUCGGUAACGAGAUGCUCGUCAUCCGGUAUUAGCAACCUUAAUUGUUGCUUGAAAAUGUUUUUAGCCACUUGCUGAUAUAGGCCUUUGUUUAUUGGAGUAGGAUUAUUUCUUCUUUUUUUUUCCCAUUAUUUUUCCUCUCAUUCUAUUUGAACGAUCACGGUUAAGUCAUAUCAAUAUCUUAUAUUAAUUUUCUAUAAAAAGAGAAAGAUAAAAUAGAGAAUGUGAGAGAAGAGAAGAGAAUGGGAUGAAAAGAGAAAGGAAGAGAAUCCUAAUCCUUGUUUAUCAGCAACCUUAAUCGUUGCUUGAAAAUGUUAAGAGCAUUUCCAAUGAGCUCCCUAUAAAAGUUUCUAGCUAAAAUUUAGGGAGGAAUUAAAAAAAAAAAUCAUCUCCAACCACACUCCCUAUUAUGAUCAUAGGGUGGCAACAAAUCUUGGAGCUCCUAAAUCAAAGGAGUGAAAAAUUAACUGUUUUAAUUAUACUUUAAAUAGAAACUUUAUUCCUAUUCAUUCCUACUAACUCUGACUCUCUAAAUUAGACAAUAUGGUUGGAGUAAAAAUGUUAGGGGAGAUCUUAAGAUAACUUUUUAGUCGUUUAGUUCAAAUUUAACCAAAAAAUAGAGCAUGACUGGAACACACUUCAAGCACGCUCCUUUGGUCUUCCUUUUGACUCAUGUUCGCCUGGACUUGCAUGCCUUUGGGCCUGUUGAGGUUAACCCUGCAUUAACAAAUUAAGGAUUAGAAAAGGGUUAGUAUUUCUGAAUUUCCCUUAAGUUUAAAAUAUUUAAAAUGAUGUCGUUUUAAGAAAAUUCGGUUUGGUUUCCAAAUCAUUGAAAAUAAAACAAUAGAUUUUGGUUCAAUUUGGUUCGAUUUUUCUUUGAUUCGAUUUUUUCCAUCUUUGACGUGCUGUCUAAUUUUGGUUAGGUUUUUAUAUUCAUCAGCCACUUUGAUGUGUUGUCUACGUUUGGUUAGAUUUUUUUUUAUAUAUUUGAUAUUGUUGCAGUCCUAUUAGAUAUGGAAUGUGAUUGUGUAAAUCCUAGUAUAUCUUGGAAUAUCUCUUAUAUCCCUAUUAGGAGUUGAUUACCUAUUAAAUGUUGUAAUCCUAAAGGGAAAGGUUUUUACCUAUCAUACUACCAUAAAUAAAGGCAUAAUGGGGUGGAAUAGAACACACCCACAAUUACACAUCUCUGUCUUCUCUCUCUAUGCCGCACCAUCUCUCUCUAUAUGGCCUUCAUAAUUGUUCAGUAAAGUAUGCCUACAACACGUUAUCAGCACGCUCUUAACGCUAAGCUAAAGUGAGUUUAUUCUUCAAUCAGGGGAGUAUUACGGUCUAAUCAUUCUUUUUAUGAUUAAUUUAUUGUUUUGAAUUGAUCUACAUGUUAUUCAUUCAAUUUAAUUUUUUUUUGUGUUGAACGUGAUCCAACACAUUGGAGAUGCAAUUCCGUCUUUAUGAGAAAGAUCUUCUACAAAUUCAAGGGCUUUUGUUGUUUUCUGCCAAUCAGGUACGCUUAAAAUAAAGGAAGAUAUUUGAAACGACCUUGAAGCAUGAAAACAUUCCCCAUGAUGCAUGAACCUCCUUAUGUUUAUACUUUCCUUCCGAUAUAUAUAUUGUAUAUAUUCAUAUAUUUGUCAAUAUAUAUAUUUGUUUCAUGCAUUACGCAAUUAUAAUUGCUAUGUGGAAUAUGUUAGUCAAAGUAUAUUCAUAAAUUAGAAGCAAUUAGGGUUUUAAACCCUAGGUUCGGAAAAAAAAUUAGGUAUUUUUAAGCACCACCGUGGCGACACACAUUGGGACACUAAUUUGGACCUUUGCGCAGCCCUCUGGGCUUGCUGCCUUCCUUCAACAUUCACCCAGGCCUCAACCUGGGAUGGUUAUCUCAUGGGCCUGAAAGCCCUGGUCCAAAACUCGACCCACAACCUGCAAGCCUGAAGCCAUGCUUGUCACUGUCACGGGCUUGAAGCCCCAACCCGUCUGCACCAGUUUUUCUGGUUCGCUGGACCGGUUUCACUGCCACGACCAGCUUACUACUGGGCCCUUGCCUCGCUCCGACCCGCGCUAGAACAAGCCAGCACGUGCUGGGCUUGUCCAGUGCUUUCAGCCUGCCAGCCCGCAUUUCAAGCUUGCGGCUUGAUUUGUACGAUGGGCUGCACAACAGUUUUUCCAAGCCCACUAGCCGACAAUUUUUUUUUGCUAUGAUGGGCUAUUUGCCUCGACUCGCUACCAAUUGUAGCCAUUGGAGCUACCUUGCAAGAGCGUGUAGUGCAUAACCAAAGUGUGUUGGGCUGUAUUCCUUUUUCGACCUGAUGCUAUAUUUUGGCAUCCCUUGCUUCUUAACCAUACCCAAAUAUUUUUGGACGUUUUUGGUUAAAGUCAUACUAGGCUAUAUUUUCUUAAUUAUUUGGCCCGAAGCCAUCUAAAGUGAAUAUGACUCGAAUGUUAUUCUUUUGCUUCUACAAUCGACCCCGAAUGGUCCUGAUUUAUUGAAUUAAUUAAAAGUGACCUGCAGUCCAUUAAUCUGGUAAUGAAUAAAAAAUUAUUGACCUGAAUAUCACUUUUGGACAUUAACGAUUCAAUAAUUUAUUUUUGUACUUUGAACCGUUGACUUACUUUCGUAGUUCCGAAGCACUCACACUUGAGUUCCUGAAGCAACCCAAAUCCACUACACUUAGUUGUAUAUUGCAUUAUGUGUUCUUGCAGGAACCUCUCUUUUAUAAACUAAAUGUUCAUAAACUAAAUUGAACCUGUAGUUUCAAAUUUAGUGCCUUUGAAACUCGAAGAUUUUAUAAAACAAUACACCUAUGAAAACCUGACGUUUUGUCAUGAAAACCAUGUCUUAAAACUUGAAUGUUCUAACUUUGAUGCCUAUGGAUGAUCCAUUCUCAUAACACCAAUCACAAUCUUGUUCCCUCCAAAUUCAAUGGAUUGUCGAACCGUCACAAGUUCGAUUUUUCUUAUUUGGACGUUUCUAAUAGAAACUACUUAAUGUGGGGUACAAGACAUGAAUCCCCACUUGACUAUCAUGAAGUUGAGAAACCAUUUAAGCCAACAAUGGCAAGAAAGAGCUGAAUAAGCCUCCGCCAUGAUUUUCAUUCGAAGACUUAUGCCCAAAGCAUUACAAAUGGAAGUACCUCUUGAACGAGGAUUCCAUGGCUCUAUGGCUCGCUCCUACGGACUGUCUAAUCAUGAAAGACAUUACCUAAAGCACACCAUAAUUACGUCCAUGAAUGAGUACAAUUAUGAAGUUUAUAAAUCCGAUCGAAUUUUGACAAGAGAAUACUUUUCUCGUCCUUGUUUCUAACUCGCUCCUGAAGCAACUAGUGUAGAAAGCAGAAGUUUUACCAAAUUCUCGGAUCUGAUUACUACCAUAAACAUAUGGUAGAAUUAGGGCCUGCCAAGGUGUGGCAUCAUGCUCGAAACGUGAUCCUUGGUACCUAAGACCUAAAACUUAAAAAACAAGGGAUAGUAUUCCCAAACCUUAACCCUGCAUAAUCUAUUUCCGUUUCGAUGGAAUAGACCAUUGGUUAUGCACCCCUGUUCGUGCACCUACCAAUGUUGUUAAGGAGUACCAUUCUAGUAGUUAAUACGUCAGACUAAUUUUGCUCCACCAAACACCGUUGGAAGAGCAGAAUUUUGACAUGGAUGGUCUUGUUGGAUGAAUCCCCCUUAGUAAACCAUUUACUUUGUGAACAUUUUUCCAUGUUCUUGGAUUCACGUUUGGUGUAUGUUUUACUUAUGGAUAAUCUUAUUGAUAUUGUCCUCGAAUAUGGGUUAAUUGAAUUAUGUUUCUUAAUACCUGUGACCGAUUUAAUUAAAUACAUGAUGAGGUAGGAAUGUGGGAAAGUUUGUUGUCUGGAUGAAUGCGUACUACGCACACUAACUUUACACCUAAAUCAUAUCUCUAACAGCGACUUCAGGUUUAUCCAAUUUGAUUAAGAGCAUUGGCACCUUCCUCGUUGUACGAAUGGUAUUGAAUCACCAUUUAAGGGACCUUAAAUUCUCCCUGAUGUUGAGUUUUUAAGGAUAUUCGAGAUAACAAUGAUCAUAAAUGAACCACUGAAGAAAAUAGAGUGAAAUAUCUUUGCACCACCUCCAAAAAUUAGCCCGAAGCUUUGAUUGGGGGCCAAUGAGUUGUCUCCCAAUUGGGACCACGCCAUAUGUGGCCAGCCUGGAGCCAGGUGAUUCGAGCUGUUUACUUGUUUUGGCAUGACCUUUUGGGACACUUAGGUCGAACAACGAUGUUACGACGCAUCUCCUUACCCGAAGUAAAGAUCUUGUGCCUACAAGCACACUUUGCCAAAACCCGCUCAUUUUGGAAAAUUUGAUUUCUAAAUCAUCCCUAGCAAAGAUAAAAAGUGACUCAUUUUUCACAGUGGAUUCAAGGGAAUAUAUGUGGACUAAUCCAACCAAAAUGCAGACCAUAUAAAUACUUAUGGUUUUGGUUGAUGAAUCGACAAACUGGUCACAUGUUUGUCCACACACAUUACUGCUAAACCUCAUAGCCGAUUAAGGGCUCACCACCCUACUUAUCCCUUAAGGUCCAGGAGACUAGAUAAUGUCGGAGAGUUUAUAUCGAAGGUUUUCAAUAAAGUAUUGCAUGUAUUUUGGGUUUAUAAUUGAACAUCAAAUUCCCAUGUUCACCCCAAAUAGCCUCGCCUAGUGAACAUAAAGCGUAAUUUAAAUGAUCGCCUGAAUUUUGGUAAACGUACCAACUUUUCGAUUUCUGCCCAGGGCUAUGCAAUCCUUGUACGCAGUUAUGUUGGUCCACCUUGAGGCCUAUUGCCACCCAACCUAUAUGACGUUACAGUUGGUUACUAGGUACGAACCUGACGAUUUUCGUAUUUACGUAUUUGGGUGUGCAUUCCAUGUGCCAAGUUGCGCCGCCGUAACGUACCACCAUGGGUCUUCAAAGAAGGAUGUGUAUCUUUUAUCGAUCAUGAUUCUCCUUCACCUUCGCUCUCUUAAAGCCCUUGCACACGAUCUCUUUACUGCUCAUUUGCGGGUUGUCUCUUUAAUGAGACAGUUUUCCAGUCGUUAGGGGGAGAUAAGAACGUUAACGUUCCUGGAGAACGGCGCGAAUUUGCGUGGACGUUGCCCACUAUGUCUCAUAUCGAUCCUCAUACCGCACCAGUGUGAUAAGCAAGUGCGAUGAAUUCUAGAUUUCAGAAUGUUACUCCAGACGGAUUCCUAUGAUCUAGCUAAAGUGAUAAGAUCAUAUACCAGUUGCAAACAUGCCUACAAUGAUAGACGUACUUAACGGACGUCGAGUCAACAUCCCUAGAGCAUGUGCCGUCCUUGUUGGACGGUUUAGACGGUCCGGUACACCGGCGAAUAGCCAAUCAAUCUGUCUUGGCCUGGAGCAAAACAAAUCAUUCAGUUUGUAGGAUUCACUUCCCUAAAAAAGGAAGAUACAGCAUAACAAUGAAUCUAAACUCGAUCGCUAUCUCAAAUUACUUCCAUAUCAUGAGAUUAAUCCGGAUUACUCUCUAGACUUAAGGUUCUUGGUCCAGUAUAUUAGUUUGGAUGAGAAAAUGGAAUUGAAAUAAGAUUAUCAUCGAUGAUGUUUUCACUUAUAUGGUAGCUACCGACAUAAAUGAAAAGCGACAAUAUCAAACUGUGUUCCGUUGAUUAAGUGACAAUGUAGAACUGAUUGGACAACUAAAGUUACAAUCUAGGUCAAAUUCCUUACCAAAGUCUGUAUUGGACCUGUCGUUCCUACACUGCCCAAGGUAACCCUGUUGUGUUACAAGUGAAAAAGGAAGCGUUAUGAGAUGAAUGAAAUAAUGCAAUAUGAUGCACGCCUUGCGGCGCAAGGUUUCUCUUAAACGUCAUGUGAUUGAUAGCAGCAUUAUGAAAUGUGGUUAGUGUUUUCUCCAUGGGGAUAUAGAUACUGAGAUUUACAUGUAAGUUCUCGAAGAAUUACAAAAACUGUUUCAAAUAGUUCCAAAACCACUGAACACCUUCUUAACUUGUUUGAGGCAUUCACUUACAAUUUGACGAAUUUGGUAUACUUGUCUAAGUGAUUAUUUGAUCAGUUAGGGAUGAAUUAUGCCUUUGCGUGUUAAACUAUGAAAUCUUAUUCCAAAUUGCUAGAGUUAUAGUUUAUGUCGUUAACACGAAUUUCACUAAGACUUCUGAAGAGUUUGAGCAAACUGCCUCACACCUGAAAAUGGAAUUUGAGAUGAAGGAUCUUGGGAAACUCAAUUGUGCCUUGACCUGAAGUUAAAGCAUUGUUCUAACAGUAUUUUGGUCUACCAGUCGAACUACACCCCGAAUGGGUCACAUUUGAGUAUACCUUUGAUCGUCCAUACGUUAUAUGCAAAUGAGACCCUUGAAGAGGUUAUAGAAUUCGAUAUUCCAUAUCUAAAUUCAACUUUACGAUUCGUUGUACUUAGCUCAUUAUAUUUAGACAGGACAUCUCCUUCAUUGUUGAUCUUGGUAAAGAUGCAGCAUCGCGCCUACACAAGGCAAAAUCCCAAAAUGUUAUAUCUUUACCAUUAGGGAUAUCGCAAUAUCUUAGAGGUCCAUGAUAUGACCUUAGUUGCAAAAUCUUCGAAUUGUUCCAAGACUCACCUACUUCACUACGCCACAAGUGAGACAUGGUUAGGAGUUCUUGUUGAGCAUAUUCGAAGUACUUGCUGUAUUUUUCAUCCAUCGUUGAGUCCCGACGACGAUCCAUGAAGAUUAUGCCGCAUGUAUCAACUAGACCAAGUCAUGAUACAUCAACGAAGUCAACACCAAGACAUAUUGCAUCUACAUCAGCAAAGCAUCAGGAGAUUGAAGUUAUGCAAGCCGAUCCUGACAACCUUGCCAACCUCUACACGACGUCACUGCCGAAAUCAACCUUCCAGAAGCUUGUCCGAGGAAUUGGUAUGCCUAACUAUCAUAUGCAAUGCUUAUAUUUCUCAUUUGGAAGUUAUGUUAAACUCAGGAGGAGUAUCCAGAAGUAUACUCACUUGAUCUUAAUGUACACUUUUUCCCUACGAUUAAGAGCAUUUUUCCCACUGGUUUUUGCUACCUAACUAUGUUUUAACAAGGCACCCAUCCUGGGCUGAUCAUACCCUUGUGAGGUCUUCUACUUGCGUCCAAAAUACGUAUAGUUUUGACUUAAUGCAACUUCUCAUUUUUCUCCUUAGACUAUGGGUUUUUCUCCCACCUUGGGUUUUACCAUAACGAGGUUUUGUGAGUUUUACUUUUUAUGCAUUCUUCCGUUGAUCUGAGACUCGCAUUCGCACAUUGUGCUGAUGACUUCAUCAACUAUACUUGCUUCAUCACUGAAGACCUGAUGCACCAUUUACUUGAGUAUUUACACACUCAAUGGGGAGUGUUGUAGUCCUAUUAGAUGUGUAAAUCCUAGUAUAUCUUGGAAUAUCUCUUAUAUUCAUAUUAGGAGUUGAUUACCUACUAAAUGUUGUAAUCCUAAAGGGAAAGGUUUUUACUUGUCAUACUACUAUAAAUAAAGGCACAAUGGGGUGGAACGGAACACACCCACAAUUACACAUCUCUCUCUUCUCUCUCUAUGCCACACCAUCUCUCUCUAUAUGACCUCCAUAAUUGUUCAGUAAAUUAUGCCUACAACAGAUAUAUUAUUAUUUCUUCCAUGUCACAGGUCUUAGUUUAUUAGCAACUAGCACGGACCCAACUAUUUUUGUCAGUGGCAGAGGCAGGAUUUGAAUUCACUAGGGCCAUGAUAAAGAAGUAGAUGUGGUAGUGUUUUGUUAUUUAGAUAUAUAAUUCAUGACUUGUCCUUAUAAUUUUUUUUUAUAAAUAAAAUGUAUUGAUGAGAAAAUGAGAGUUGUCCUUAUAAUUUGAACUUGUUGAUUAAUAGUGUCAUUAUUUAUUUAACACAUACACCUAAAUUAUAACCAUAUAGUGAUCUUAAUUGUAUAAUAUUAGAUUUUUUUCCCACUUAAGCAACAUCAACCGUUAAUUUGACUGCAAUAAGUAAAUACACCAACUAUUGUAAAAGGUUAUUGAUCAAUCCUUUCAAUUGAUUGAACUCACUACGAAAUACUGUUGAUUACUAGAGUGUUUACAUAAAUAAUGGAAAUCAACCAUAAUACUAUGUUUGGAUGAAGGAAAUAAACUUGGAAUUUGGAUAAAAGUCAAAAUUUAUAAAUUAACAUGCACCAAUUCUCUUGUUUGGAUUUAUAAACAUAGAAAUUUAGAAUUUCUGCGUGAAAAAAAAAACUUGGAAUUUGGGGCCUCCAAUUCCCAAGUUUAAAUUCCAUAUAAGUAGGUGUCAUUUCUCAAUUUCUAUGAUUGAGAGUUUAAAAUUAACAAAUUCCAUUAUCAAUUCCACUGUUCUUUUAGGUUAACCAAAUAAGAAAAUUCACAAAUUCUAGAAAAUAAAAUCUCGACAUUUCAAUUUUUGUCAUUUUAAAAUUACUUAGUAAUCUUAAAUUUCUUUAUCAAGCAUAGUGUACGUUAAUUGUUGAAGUUCCUAUUUGGAUAUCUAGAUCAAUAGAAUAUAUAGUUCAGUUCAUCCGCCACUUGCUCAUUUGUUGUGAUUCCGAAUUAUGAUUGCAAACUAAUGUUUAUUAGCUACCUUGAUUUGAUUGUUGAUUGAAAAUGUUUAUUAGCCACUUGCUGACAUAGGUCUUAGUUCACUUGCUGGCAUAGGUCUUUAGUUCACUUGCUGGCGUAGGUCUUUGUCUAGGCCUCUCAUUUUUUUUUAUAGGAACUUUGACGAAAAGCUCCAGGUAAUGUUCACUUUAACGAAAAAUCACAUUUUUACACUAAAAAGUUAAUCAUGGUACUAUUUAUUUUACCCUUUAUUUUGUCAUUAUCUUUAAAACUCAAAGUUUUCAAGUUAUUUUCAUUAAUAGCCACUUGCCAAUGACAGUGAUGAGAGAUUUUUUAGGACUAAGAUUCUCUCUUUCUUUUUCUAUCCCCUUCCUUUUCUUCCUCUUAUAUUCUUUAUUUUAUCUUUCUUUUUUUAUAAAAAAAAAUUAGGGUAUUUGUUUACUACCCUCAUGUUUCGUGGUUUUCAACAUUUAGUACAUCAAGUUUUUUUUCAUCCCAGAGUCAUACUUGUUACAAUGUGCCUAGACACCUUGCCAUUAUUCUCACCAACCAGGUGAUGAAAUGUAAAGAAGGAACUCAUCUUCAUGCUACCAACCAGGUGAUGAAAUGUACAACCCGUACUCUCCUUUAUGCCACCAACCAGGUGAAGAAGGAACUCAUCUUCAUUCCACCAACCAAGUGAUGAAAUGUACAACCCGUACUCUAAUAUCAUUUGGCAACUUGCCAUUCAUGCCACCAACUAGGUGAUGCAAUGUGAUGAAAGGUGAUAAAGGAACUCACCUUCGUACCACCAACCAAGUGAUGAAAGCAACUCACCAUUUAUUCCACCUACUAGAAGACGAAUGGUAUAACUUGUACAUGUGAACUUCUAGCAUUCACAAAUAAUAAAAAACCCUCAAGCUUGACAACUCAACUAGGGGAGCACUUAUGCCCAACAAGAGUUAUAGUCACAAACAAAGUCUUAUUGCAAGCCAACAACAACUUCAGUGCAUGACAUACGAAUAUCAAGCUAUUCAACCCUAUUGCAUCUGCUUCAGACAUUUCCCCUCUGUAACAAUGCAAACACUACAACUCGUAGAAAGCUUCACACACUCUUGAUCAAGACAGUGUGAAGCAAAACCAAUUAAUGGUGCCAACAAGAGCUUCAUCAAAGAAGUUCAACCACAAUUCUCAAAAGCUUCAUACACUCUUGAUCAAGACAGUGUGAAGCAAAACCAAUUUAUGGUGCCAACAAGAGCUUCAUCAAUGGAGGGCAACCACAAUUCAAAAAAGCUUCACACACUCUUGAUCAAGACAGUGUGAAGCAAAACCAAUUUAUGGUGCCAACAAGAGCUUCAUCAAUGGAGGGCAACCAUAAUUCUCAAAAGCUUCACACACUCUUAAUCAAGACAGUGUGAAGCAAAACCAAUUUAUGGUGCCAACAAGAGCGUCAUAAAUGGAGGCCAACCACCAUUCUCAAAAGCUUCACACACUCUUAAUUAAGACAGUGUGAAGCAAAACCAAUUUAUGAUGCCAACAAGAGCUUUAUCAAAUGAGGGCAACCACAAUUCUCAAAAGCUUCACACACUCUUGAUCAAGACAGUGUGAAGCAAAACCAAUUUAUGGUGACAACAAGAGCUUCAUCAAUAGAGGGCAACCACAAUUCUCAAAAGCUUCACACACUCUUGAUCAAGACAGUGUGAAUCAAAACCAAUUUAUGGUGCCAAUAAAAGUCUCAUCAAAAGAGUUCAACCACAAUUCUCAAAAGCUUCACACACUCUUGAUCAAGACAGUGUGAAGCAAAACCAAUUUAUGGUGACAACAAGAGCUUCAUCAAUAGAGGGCAACCACAAUUCUCAAAAGCUUCACACACUCUUGAUCAAGACAGUGUGAAUCAAAACCAAUUUAUGGUGCCAAUAAAAGUCUCAUCAAAGGAGUUCAACCACAAUUCUCAAAAGCUUCACACACUCUUGAUCAGGACAAUGUGAAGCACAACCAAUUUAUGGUGUCAACAAAAGCCUCAUCAAAGGAGUUCAAUCACAAUUCUCAAAAGCUUCACACACUCUUGAUCAAGACAGUGUGAAGCAAAACCAAUUUAUGGUGCCAACAAAAGUUUCAUCAAUGAAGGGCAAUUACAACUCGUAGAAAGCUUCACACACUUUUGAUCAAGACUGUUUGAAGCAAAUUCAAUUUAUAUGGUUCAUCCAAACCUUCGACUACUACAAGGUGUUUUGCAUCACAAUCUCUUGCUUAACAGUGUGGAAGCAAAAUUUGUAUAUGUUGUCUCUCUCACAUUUUCAAAUUUCUAAUUUUAACAAAAAAAAAAAAAAAAAAGAAAGGAAAUUGGGAAUUCAACAAAGUUUCACCACAAAAGCUUCACCAACAAAAGCUUCAUUCAUCAAUGGAGGACAACUAAAAAUUCUUAAAAGCUUCACACUAUCUUGAUCAAGAUAGUGUGAAGCAAAAUCAAUUCAUGGUAGCCAACAAAGCUUCACCACAAAAGCUUCAUCAAUGGAGGAUAACUACAAAUUCUCAAAAGCUUCACACUAUCUUGAUCAAGAUAGUGUGAAGCAAAAUCAAUUCAUGAAACCCAACAAAAGCUUCAACUCCAAAGCUUCACCUACAAAGCUUCAACUCUAAAGCUUCACCCACCCACAAAAGCUUCACCUACAAAAGCUUCACCGAUAAAAGCUUCACUAACAAAAGCUUCACCCACAAAAGCUUCACCCACCACAAAAACUUCACCUACAAUAGCUUCAUCUACAAAAGCUUCACCCACAAAAGCUUCACCCACAAGCUUCACCCACAAAAGAUUCACCCACUACAAAAGUUUCAUCCAUAAAAGCUUCACCCACAAAAGCUUCCCCCACCACAAAAGCUUCACCCAUAAAAGAUUCCCCCACCACAAAAGCUUCCCUCACAAAAGCAUUCCCCACCACAAAAGUUUCACCCACAAAAACUUCCCCCACCACACAAGCUUCACCCACCAUAAAAGCUUCAACACAAAAGCUUUACUUACAAAAGCUUCACACUAUCUUGAUCAAGAUAGUGUGAAGCAAAAUCAAUUCAUGGUAUCCAACAAACCUUUAACCUCAAAGCUUCACCUACAAAGCUUCACCUAUAAAGCUUAAUAUAUAUAUAUAUAUAUAUAUAUAUAUAUAUAUAUAUAUAUUUUUUUUUUGGAAAUUCAAAAAUUCGGAAAUUUGUAAAUUCAGAAAUUCAAAAAUUUGAAAAUUCCAAAAAAAAAAAAUGCCUAGGCCUCAUCUUCUUUAGACCUAACAACUUUCAUAACAAAUAUAUAUAAAGUAGGAGUUUUGGGCUACCACUUAGAAAGGAAAAUGGUGAAAUUUUGUUACUUUGGAAACUUGGCUACUAGCAAGACACCUCCUUCGUCAACUCCCUCGACUGGAGACUUGGGGGACUUCUACCAUAUGCUACUGCACCUUGAUACUCGGAAGUCUCACGACUACUUAGUGAGUUGGCUUUUUUCAAGUCUCUAACCGAAAAGUUUUCCUCACUCGGGAAAUUAAGGGAGCACUACCUCAACCUACAUGCUUCACUCAUAAAGCUUCAACAUACAAGCUUUAACAAAAAGAAAAAUUCAAAGAAUUUAGUGAAGAAGGCCUUGGUGUAUUUAACACAAUACGUUGAAAUAAAGCAAAGCUUGUUUAUUGAUAUCUCCGAUAAGUUACAAAUAUGUACAUAUACAUGAAUCAAAAUAAACAAACAAGAGGGAGCAUUCACAAAGGUUGCUCAGGAGAAGUCUCAGCAGUCUGCAGAGCCCCAGAAAGAAGAGGCACCAGAGGGUGAUUAUUCGGAGCCUCAGUACUAGGCAGAACCCUAGAAGAAUGAAGCACUGAAGGUUGAUCAUUUAGAGCUUCAUUACGCGAUACAGCCCUAGAAGACGAAGGCAAUAAUUGUCUUUGGAACAAACCCACAAACCUCUGAUAAUCAAGUAAAAUCUGACCAUCAGAUUCCUGCAAUUGGUCGAGCUUCCUCUUCAUGUUUGUAGCAUAGUCAUGUGUGAGCAUGUGCAAUUGUUUAUUCUCAUGCUUGAGCCCUCUAAUCUCCUGUUUGAGACUUAUCACUUUAGUCGCCAAUGAUUCAACUUGGCGGGUUCGAGCAAAUAGGCUUUGGGCCAUAUUCGACACAGAACCUGCACAUUGAACAUUGAGAGCCAGAGAAUCCUUAACAGCCAACUUAUCAGACCGUUUGGAAAGUAGUCUGUUAUCUUUGGGAGUGAGAAAGUUCUUGGCCACCACCCCAGCGGUCAUAUCAUUCUUCAUCACAGAGUCCCUAAUGGUAAGAGGACCAGUAGGGGAUAAGAAGGAUUGGCGUCAUAUGUUGUCUUGAGAAGGCAUGUCUGCCUCUUCACCAAAGUUCAAGUCAAAACGACGGUCGGAUGGGCCAGACAUUCUCAGAAAUGAUGAAGGAGAAAUGAGGUGCAAUAAAUCUCUGAAGUAAAGGGAAAAUUCCUACAAGCAAUAACUCUUUAAAUGUACUUCUUGCACACAAUUGGUUCCCUUAUAAAAGAAAGGGCAACAAGGUCGUUGGUUCAAAAAUCGAAAAGGCAACACUCUCUGGAUUCCGAAGAAGCACCACUUUCCACACGCAACAUCAGCUCCUCGGGUACCACAGAUAACUUUGCCAAAGAUCUCUGACAAAGUUUAAACACAUAAAUUUUGAAGGUCCAACUACCCUACUAUUACCCACAAGGGUAAAGGAACAACAUCACUGCUUGAUAACUAGAAAAUCCCUAUAUGUGUCAACCUCUGUGCUCCGUGGCAAGGCAGACUAGCAAAAAUGCCCAACCUUUACUAACAUUCGAGAAAACACUCCCAACAGGAUUACUUUCUCAAAAAUUGAAGAGACACUGCUCUCUGAAUCUCAAGAGUCAGACUCCCAACAAGAUUGCUUUCUCAAAAAUUGAAGAGGCACCGUUCUCUGAAUCUCGAGAGCCAGAUCCCCGACAAGAUUGCUUGUUCGAAAAUCGAAGAGGCACCGCUCUCCGAACUUCGAGAGCCAGAUUUCCUUGCAUAAAGCUUUUCUGUAAUCUUCACACAUCAACUUUCCAGAUACCACAUACCACUUUUUCAAAGUGCUCUGACAAAGUUAAAACACGUGAAGCUUGUAGCUCUUACUACAUUGCUAUGACCAAGAAGGGUAAAGGAAUAACACUACUACUUGUUGUUAGGGAGACUCCUAUAUAUGUCGACCUUCAUCCCCCACAGCCAGGAAAACCUGCAAAUAUAAAAAAAUGCUCAACUUUUCUUCACAUCCGAGAGGGCACUCUCAGCAGAAUCUCUCGAAAUACUCAGCUUCUUUUCCUUCCAAUAAUACCUCUGCAAACAAGCCACACCAAAGCAAGAGUAUCUCAUACAUCAAGGUUAAAAGCAAGAGUAUCCCAUAUCAUGAUUUUUCCCUGUCUUUUCCUUUGGCCUUGUUCUUACCUGGAAGACAAGGAGAAAGAGAGCAAUCAGUCAGCACUUAGAUUCAAGCUUCCAGUCAGGAAUUGAUUGCUUGGAACCCCUUGCCUGAUUACUUACCUGGCAUUGCUCUCGAGUACUCAUCUUCAACAUCUUAUGCUUCCAGAGAAAAUACCAUAUCUGCCUGAGGAACAGAUAAGACAAGUAAGAAGGAUACAAAGAAGCAUGUGGAGACAAGACACGUGCCGAUACAUCCAUUACUUUGUCAACAGCAAAAGUAUCCCAUAUCAUCAGGGUCGAAUGUACUCUAGAUUUGAUGGACUUGUUUUGACCCUCAAAUUCUUGAGUUAGCCUUAUACUCUAAAGGAAACCAGAAAACCCUCCAGCUCAGUUCAAGAAUAAGUCUGUGGAAAGUUACUUCUUCAAAAGCAAAAGUAUCUCAUAUCAUCUCUUCUCCAUUUGCUUCUCCUUAUCUUUGUUGUUGUUUACGACACAAUGAGAAGGAGAAUAAUCAACUGAAAGCUGAAGUCAAACCUCCGAUCCAGGUUGCUUGCUUGGAAGUCUGAUUGCUUACCUUGUCCAUUACUCAUUCGGCAAAUCUCCUAGCUCGAUGACUUGGGGGACUCCUACUAUAGGGUUUAUAUCGCAUUUGACCAAGCCCAAGACUACAAGUAAGCUUCAAGUGAAAUUGAAACAUUACUUUGUGCAUCUUCAUCGGUUAAAGAUACCACCCUUGGAUGGAGGAAAAGUACUUCCAGAAAAGAUGCCACAUUUACAUAUGAGACAGAUAAGGCAAGUGAAAAUGAUACCACACUUCGGUACUUAGAAGUUUCGUGAUUACUUAAUGGCUUGGAUCUUGCAAGUCCUCAACCGAAGAGUUUCCCUUACUCGGGAACUUACGGGAGCACUAUUUGUACCAUACUUGACCAAUCCCGAAACUACUGAGCACCAGUCAACGUUAUACCGUCAAGGACCCAGAAGAGUUUCCCUCCAACCAAGAGGCCAAUCACAGCGCGACACGUGUCGACAUCAGAAGCCAAUCAUAGCACGACACGUGUCAACAUCAGAAGCCAAUCAUAACACGACACGUGUUAAUGUCAGAAUGAAACUAGAAACUCUCUUCUAUAAAUAGAGAUCAUUCUCUCACAAUAUUUCCUAAUGUCAUUUGUACUAAAUCAUUCACUAGUACUCACUAAAGGAGAUCUUAAACCUAUGUACUUGUGUAAACCCUUCACAAUUAAUGAGAACUCCUCUACUCCGUGGACGUAGCCAAUUUCAGUGAACCACGUACAUCUUGUGUUUGCUUCCCUAUCUCUAUCCAUUUAUAUACUUAUCCACACUAGUGAUUGGAGCAAUUUAGCGAAGGUCACAAACUUGACACUUUCUGUUGUACCAAAGUUCUCACUGAUUUUGUGCAUCAACACAUUGUAAGUUGUGUUGUAAAUUAAGUGGCUAGGUGGAACAAUUGUCAUUUAAUAUGUUUCGGUGGCUUAGGGAGUUGUAUUUGCAUUGAUGAAGAUGUUUUGGCACACUAGUAUAUUAGGGAAGGAGUUUGAUAUGCUAAAAGAGACAAUUUGGAAUUAUAAUUUUAUGGUAAUGAAGAAUUGAGCAUUGCUCUUCUAUCAUUCCUCUAUCUCUUUGUCGUUUUGCAUUACAUACAGUUAUGAGUUCGAAUAUAUUGGCGUCAGUUUCUUGCAAUUAGGUUUUAACUUUUAAGGUAUACCACAUCUUUUUUUUUUUUUGAGUUAAAAUUCGUCUUUUCAAUUUGAUUGGUAUAUUUCAGCUUGUUUCCUUAGUUUUAUGUUCUAAUUUCUUUUCUUUUAUUGCUAUUUUGUCAUUGAAUUUCAAUUUUUGGUGAGGGAAUCAUAGUGGUUGUUUGGCCUUAGGAUCUACAGUAUAAUAAAGUAUUAUUAUUUUGUAAAAUUGUUUAACCCAAAAGGAUGGAAGUUCCCAUCAGGCUACCUACAAAUUAGGAAGAAACCGAAUUAGGUUUGGUGUGUAUGUUUAAAGUUGUCGAAAUAGGGCUUGGCUUGAAGACUUGGUUUAUUGGAUAGAAGAAGAAGAUGAAGAAGAGAUGGUGAGGGAGCAUCCCAAUAACACGAGUUUUAAUUUUAUGGGUAUUUAGGUCAAUUCAAUCAGAUUUUUGGCUAUAUUUGAAAGAAUUUGUUAAAAUUGACAUUUGUCAAUUUAGAUGGUAAAUUUUGGUUAUAAUUGAUAAAUACUCGGGUCUUGCCAAGAACUUCUAGUGAGGCCGAUAGUUCACGUGAAUCCCCCCUAGUCUCAUUUAACUCAAUCCCAACAUAGACCAAACAUGGGACUACACUACUAAGGAGUCUAGUCCAGUCUAAUCCCACCUAAUGAGGCCAAACAAAAAUACCCUUAAUGAGUUAAAUAACUAUUUAUUGAGUUUGAAUACUUGGAUGUUAACUAAAAACAUUGCACAUGGCAAUUUGUGAUUGAACCGAGUAAGGAGCUCUUCAGUCAUGGCCUUGAGCCAUAUUCUCAAAUAAAACUAAUAGUUGUAGCAAAUUCGAAUCAACAUCAAUAAUAUCAAUAUCAGUCAUAUUUAAUAAAUUGUAAUUUGAAUUCGCAUAUAUAUUAAUAAACCUAAGAAAAAUCAAGGGUCGAAAUCAUUUCAAUAUCUAUUCCACAUAAAUAAACCAUUUUUUAAGGUAAUUUUUUGUCUUUAAAAAAAGACGUAACAUGUUCAUGUGGGUUUGAACAAGUCUAAGCAACACUCAGUUGCAAGUCCUCUAUUCCAGAAUUUUUCGAAGUAUUCAGCAUAUGUGAAGUUUCUGAACAUGGCUGGAUGGUCAUGGUUGAUGAGCUCCCUGGCAGGCCCAAUCAUUGCAUCUGGUGCUGGACAGUAGAAAGUUGGGAUCGAUAUCCUCUCCGAAUUACAAUUUACCACAGCCCUAUGCAGCACACUCUUGUACCUACUGUUGCUAAUUACCUAAUACCAAUUAAAAUGGUAAAAAAAGUUAAACUUCAAUUAACAGUUUACUCAUGUACAUGUCACAAAAAUUUUGUCCCACUACUUGGAAAAGUUUCCCUUGCUAGGGAUAAAUGAGUUUAACCAUCCCAGAGCGUGAUGCAAUCAUCUAUUAUUUCUCUCCUCAUGUAACAAAUUACGUGAGAACAAAGAUAAAAAAAAAUUAAGAUUUCACGCACACCGUGACAGAGAUAAAUUAGCUAAUGAAAAAUAUUUUGGGAGACUUUUUGACAUGCUUUUAGAAAUUCUAUGCACUAGAUCAUAGAUGGUCUUUUAGCCAUUAGAUACUUCAUUGUGAAUCCAAUAACUAAAAUUUAAUGGCCAAAAAUCUCGCUUAAUAGGAUACACUGAAACAUAGUAAAAUUUUCGAUAUUUAGACGGAUAUAAUGUAUACCUGCAUCAUAUCACCAAUAUUGACAAUGAAAGUGUUGGGAAUGGGGUUGACAGCAACCCACUUGCCAUUUCUAAGGACCUGCAACCCAGGCACCUCAUCUUGGAGAAGGAUGGUAAUUAGGUUAGCGUCAGUAUGUCCAGGCAAUCCAUAAGUCAGCUCUGGCUGUGGACAUGGUGGAUAGUAAUUCAAAGCCAUAUGCUGUCCUUGCUUUCCCAAUGCCUUAACAAUAUAGUUCUUUUCCAAGCCCAAGCUCUCUGAUAUGGCCUCAAGCAAUCUCAGCACUAAUCCUCUCACACUUGUGCA